GAACAUGCAUGAGUUUCGUCUCUGGAAGGAACCUUCGGCCGCCGAAAGUGCCGCCGAAGGUGCAUGACUUUCGGCUCUGGAGGGACUUUCAGCCGCCGAACCUGCCGCCGAAAGUGCCCUGUUCAGCCUUCCUUUGCAUGAUUUCUAUGAUUGUUUUAAGGUGUUCUAGGGGGUUUUUGGGGAGUAUUUUAGAGUCAUGUUCAUGUAUGUUUGGUCCCUCAUUAGAGUCCACCUGUGUAGGUUCGGACCCGAGGAACCGAGGACCCCAGCAGUGAGCUAGCUGCUUCAGAGUCAGCCAGAGGUGAGUAGAAUAAACCUUUAUGUUUUAAAUUAAUGAAAGUUCUAGCAUGACUCAUGCAUCACGAAUGCCAUGUGAUAUUCUAGGUUGUUUGCAUUAGAAUUCACAAAUAUGUUGCAUUGCAUUAUUUGAUGUUGAUGUGGAUGGAUGUUGGAUGAUCCUUUAGUCCUCGUAUGAUAUGAUAUGAUGAUGAUACGGUAUGGAAGACCAGUGAGGCCCAUUCUAUGCCCUUGGCACAAUGUAAGAGAAAGACCAGUGAGGCUCAUUCUAUGCCCCUGGAUCAGUUGGAAUGUUAUGUUAUGUAAGAGAAAGACCAGUGAGGCCCAUUCUACGCCCUUGGCACAAUUGGACUAUGUAGAGGACUACUGGUGACAAGUCCAUCCUUGAUGUGAUUUGUCUGUGGUGUGAUGCAUUCCAUUAUAGCAUAUGUUUUAAAUGUUUUAUUAUUCUGCUCACUGAGCUCUAGUAGCUCACCCCAUUUCCCUAAUCCCUCAGGUAUGCAGGUACAGGAUAGGCCAGGAGGUCAAGAAGAGUAAAGUUAUGUUUAUGUAAUAGUUAGAUGUGGACAUGAUGAAAUGUAAAGUAUAGUACAGUAAUGUAAUGUAAUGAUGAGUAUUGAGGUUUAGAGUUGUGCUUGACCCUAUGUGUAUGGUUAUCCCCUUUGAUACAUGAUCUAUAAAAUGUUUUUAUGAUGUUCAUGUUUAACCAAGCUUAAUGUUUGUUAUGAUACCCCAUUGGAGCAUUUGAUGAGGGCUCCAGUGUGUGGUUUAUGUUUAUGGUUAUGUGCAUGCACAGGUUAAGCUUGGUAAAGGAAGGAAAAAGUUCAAAUUUUUAUAUAUAUGUUUGAUCAUGUAUGGGAUUUAACAGGUAUACAGGAGGUAUGUUAGGCUUACUACGGGUCUCGGCGGCCUUAAGCCGAUCUGGAUCCUAACGCCGGUAGCGAUCCGAAUUUCGGAUCGUUACAUAGUGUGUCGGGACUAUUGGUGACACAUUCAUCCUUGCUGUGAAUUGUCUGUGAUAUGAUGUAUUUCAUUUGAGCAUGUUUAUUCACAUGUUUUACUGUUCUACUCACUGGGCUGUAGUAGCUCACCCCUCUCCCUUAACUCCAGUCUUGCAGGUGCAGAGUUCAGAGGGAGUUCAGCAGGGUACAAAAAGAGUAAAGAGUGGUGUAAUAGCAUAGUGUGGACAUGUAAUCAUGUAUGGGAUUUUGCAGGUACACAGAGAGUAUAGCAAGCUUGCUACGGGUCCCGGCGACUUUAAGUCAAUCUGGAUCCUAACGCCGGUAGCGGUCCGGUUUUCGGGUCGUUACAUGAUGGGCGGCACUCCUUAUGCUUUUAUAGUGUGGGAGUGUUGCCCUAGAUGAGGUGGAGCCUUCUUUUGAAUUUUGAAUUUUGAAUCUUGAUUACUUGGGAGGCAAGUAUGUCUUCUUGAGAUUUGGCUUCCUAAACAAGCUGAAUUUUGAAUUUUAAAUUUUGAAUGUGCAUCUUCUUGAGAUUUGGCUUCCUUAAUAAGGGAAAGACUUCUUGAAGAUUUGAAAUUUGAAUUUCAAAUUACUCUGCUGAAUGUACUUUCCUUACUUGUCACUUUCCUUAUUUAUCUUCACUUCAGUUGCAACUUGACUUGGGCAACAAGCUUGUUUUCCUUCAUCCUAUUUUAGGCAGUUUUAAGAGCAUUUUCUCCAAAUUACCUCUUUACACCUUUUUCUGCAAAAUAAGAUCAAAACCACAAAAUUAAGUAGAAAAAGUGUAAAUUAACAUUAAUAACAACGUAAUAAAAUGGUCUAAAUUUUGUCUGAUCACAUGUGCAUUUUGUGCCUGCUUGGAGGCUUUUAGGAGGCUGAAUGUUAGGGCAGAAUCGGGUUCUGGCUUGCUGGAGAACCUAGGUUCGGCAGCUGAACCUGCUUGUGGAGGCAGCCUUUAGGCCGCCGAACCUGCCCCUGAAAGUUAGUGACUUUCAAAUCUGUGAAGGGGUUUAGGCCGCCGAACCUGCCCUUAAAAGUUAGUGACUUUCGGAUCUGUGAAGGCGUUUAGGCCACCGAACCUGCCCCCGAAAGUCCCCUGCCCAGCCUUCCCCUGUUUAUUUUAUAUGCAUGUUUUGGUAUGUUUUAGGGGUUUCUUGGGGAGUUUUUUAGAGUCUUGUAAAAGUUAUGUUUAGUCCCUCAUUUGAGUCCAUCUGUGUAGAAUCAAACUUGGGAGACCGUAGAGGCCUGCAGUGAGAUAACUACGUCAGUUCUAGACGAACGUCAGCCAGAGGUGAGUAGAACUGAACUAAUCUUUUGUUUUAAAGUAAUCAAGCUUUUUAAGCAUAUUCAUGCAUCACGAAUGCCAUGUGUAUGUAUUAGGUCGUUUGCAUUAGAAUUCACGAAUAUGAUGCAUUGCAUAAUUUACUGUUGUUGUGGAUGGAUAUUGGAUGACCCACUAGCCCUCGAGUAUGAUAUGUUAUGAUGUAUACGGAAGUCCAGAUUGAGGCCCAUUCUAUGCCCCUGGCAAUAUGUAAGAGAAAGUCUAGGUCGAGACCCAUUCUAUGCCCUUGACACUAUGGAUUUAUUAUGUUAUGUUAUGUUUAAGAGGAAGUCCUGAGGAGCACUCGUCGUGGGUCGGGCACUAUUGGAAUUUGUAGAGGGUUACUAGUGACAAGUUCAUCUUGAUGUGAAUUGUUUGUGUUGUGGCGCAUUUCAUUCGAUCAUAUGUUUAUUGAAUAAUUUUAUGUUCUGCUCACUAGGCUCUCGUAGCUUAUCCCUUUCCCCUAACCCCAGGUUUGCAGGAUCAGAGUUAGCUCGGGAGAGUCGGCUGAGUUGCUAGUAUAGCUUUUGUAAUAGCAUAGUUGUGGACAUGUAUUGUUUUAUGGUUGUAGAAUUGUGCUUUGCCCUAGUAUUUAUUCUUGUAAUCCCUAUUAACAUGAUCCUUAUGUAAAAGUUUUUAAUUAUGAGUCAUGUUCGAACUAAGCUUGAGGCAUGUGAUGUUUACUAUACUGGAGCAUUUGAUGAGGGCUCUAGUAUGGGUUUUAUGUUUUUCAGUUUGGAUACAUGCACAGGUUGAGCCUUGGUUCGUGGAAUGUUUAUGUUUAUAUUUUCGUGUGAUCAUGUAUGGGAUUUUAUCAGGUGUAGUAGGAUGUAUAAUAGGCUUGUUACGGGUUCCGACAAUCUUAAGUUGAUCUGAACCCUAGCGCGGGUAGCGGUCCGAAUCCCAGAUCGUUAUAAUUGCUAUGCUCUAAUCUAGAACAAAAUUAUUUGAGUGUUGCUUAAGUUAUGAAAAAAGGAUAUUCCUUGUCUUUCAAAGACUCUUCAUGCCAUAUUUAUGACUCAAAUAAUUCUGCAGUUGUGGAGCCCUAUGGGCAAGGUUAGAAUGACUGGUACUAGGUUUCCUCUAAUGUCUUAUGAUACUGUUGAAUCUGCCUGUAAAGUUAUUAUGGAUGAGUCUUGAUUGUGCCAUAAAAGAUAUGGGCACUAUAACUUGAAUUCUUUAAAGUUUAUGCAAUCUCAUAAUAUGAUUAAAGACAUGCUUGCUGUUUUUGUUUGUGAUGAGAUGUGUUCUAGUUGUCAAUUUAGUAAAUUGUAUAAAUACUCAUUUUCUAAGGAUCAAGUUAGGAGGCUACUGAAAAAUUGGAGAUUGUACGUACUAAUGUGUGUGGACCUAUGAGUGUGCCAUUCUUGAGCCAAAGUAGGUAUUUUAUCUUGUUUAUAGAUGACUUGACAAGAAUGACUUGGAUAUAUUUUCUGAGCAGCAAAAAUCAAGUUUUCGAUAUAUUUAGAAAAUUUAAAGCUUUAAUUGAGAAGUAGAGUGGUUGUGUCCUUAAAACUUUGAAGUAUGAUAAUGGUAAAGAGUACACCUCAAAGAAAUUUGACAAAUUCUAUGAAGAUGUUGGUAUUCAACAUUAACUUUCAUUCCCUUAUUCACUUCAACGGAAUAGAGUUUCUAAGAGGAAGAAUAGAAUAGUUGUUGAGAUAGCCAGAUAUAUGUUGAAAAAGAAAGAGCUACCAAAGAUGUUUUAGGCUGAGGCAAUUUAUACAACUAUGUAUUUGUUGAAUAGACAUUAUACUAGAGCAGUGGAAGGGAAAACUCCAGUUGAAGCAUAGUUUAGGUUAAAGCCUUCUACAAGUCACUUGAAGGUCUUUGGAUCAAUUUAUUACAUGCUUGUUUCUUAUGUCAAGAGGGUGAAGCUGGAUGAUAAAGCUAAUUUGGAUAUUUUUCUAGGUUAUGCGACUUCAUCAAAAGGUUACAAGAUCUACAAUGUGCAAACCAAGAAAGUGGUUGUUAGUAAAAAUGUGAAGUUUGAUAAAGGAGCCCUACUGGGACUUUGAGAAAGAGCAAGUUGUUAGAGUAACAAACUCUUUACAGCCAAGAGUUGCUUUUAGAAGCUCUAGCAAUGAAAAUACAGAAUCUAAAGAGGAGUGUAAUUCUGAUAUAGAAUCUAAAAAGAGUCUAGUUCUGAUAAUGAAGCACAUGCUCCUUAAUUCAAGUCUCUUUCUGAGAUUUAUGAAAGAUGUAUAAUAUGGCUAUGGCAGAACCGAGCAGUUAUGAAGAAGCAUCUCAAGUUAAAAAAUAGUAGCAUGCCCUGAAAAAACAAAUUGCAGCAAUUGAAAAGAAUGGAACCUAGGAAUUGUCUUUCAAAUCAAAGGUAGAAAUGCAAUUGGUGUGAAGUGGAUUUACAGAAUUAAAGUAAAUCCUGAUUGCUUUAUUUCAAGCAUAAAGUCGGGCUUGUCGUGAAGGACUAUGCUCAGCAACCAAUGAUAAAUUAUGGAGAUACUUUUGCUCCAGUUGCUAAGCAUGACACUAUCAUAUUAUUGUUGCCUUUAGCAACUCAAAAUAGAUGGCAAAUGUUUCACUUGGAUGUUAAAUCUGCAUUCUUAAAUAGUUUGUUGAAUGAGGAGAUUUAUGCGUAGCAACCUAAAAGGUUUGAAGUAGAGGGCUAAGAAGACAAAGAUACAACCUUGAAAAUGCUCUUUAUGGCUUGAAGCAAGCUCGAAGAGCUUGGUAUGCAAGAAUUGACUCACAUCUAAUCCAAAAUGAAUUCAGGAGGAGUGCCUUGUAUGUAAGCAAUGUUGAAAAUGAAUCUCAGUUAAUUGUGUCACUUUAUGCUGAUGAUACAUUGGUAACUGGUAGAAAUUCUCGAUUAUUGAAUGAUUUUAGCUGAGAAUGCAAUCUAAAUUUGAAAUAUUAAAUUUAGAAAUUAUGAGCUAUUUUAUUGGGCAGGAAAUUGAGUAAGUUGCUGAUGGUAUCCUUGUAUCUCAAAAGAAAUAUGCUCUUGAAAUUCUGAAAAGUUUUAAUUUGGGAAAAUGCAAGUAUGUGGUUGUUCCUUUUGUUGUGAAUGGAAAACUUAACAAAGAAAACUUAACAAAGACAAUAGAACUGAACCAACAAAUGCUUCAUUAUAUAGAAGUUUGGUUGGUAAUUUGCUAUAUUUGACUGCUUCCAAACCUGAUUUAAUGUAUUCAGUAAGCUUGUUAUUUAGAUUUAUGCAUUCUCCUAGUCAAUUGCAUUUUGCUGCAGAUAAGAAAGUGUUGAGAUAUUUGAAGGGUACGGCCGAAUUCGUCUUGUAGUUUCAAAGAGGAAAAGCUGUCAAGCUUAAAGGUUAUGUGAACACUGAUCGGUUUAGAAGUGUUGAUGAUUCAAAGAGCACUUCAGGCUAUGUUUUUUUCUCUUAGUUCAAGCCCUUUCUUUCGAAAUUCAAGAAAGAGGUGAUUACUCAAUCUACUACUAAGGCUGAAUAUAUUUUAGCUAUUGGUGUUGCAAAUCAAUUAAUUUGGAUUAGGAAGCUACUGAAGGAUUUAAGAACUGAACAAUGUUAACCUAUUGUUAUAUGAUGUGAUAAUAAAAUCAAUUAUUGUUAUUGCAAAUAAUUUUGUUCAGCAUUGAAGAAUUAAGCACAACAAGAUGAAAUUUCAUUUCUUAAGGGAAACAUAAAAGAAUUUAGAGAUUAAACUACUAAAUUGUAAGUUUGAUGAACAACUUGCUGAUAUACUUAUAAAAACCUUGUCGAAUGACAAGUUUGAAGAGCUAAGGAAGAAGUUUGGAGUAUCAAGGAAAAAUGCCAAUGAAUGUUGACUAAUGAGACUUUUUCUAGAUACUUAAUUGCUAAAUCUUAGUUGAUAUUUUGUUUAAAAUUUUCUUUUUACGAAUGUAAUGGUUAUAUAGCUGAUUAUAGUAUAAUUCACUAUACCUUAAUCAUGUAUUUACUUGUAAGAGUUUAUAAUAUAUGUAAUCAGUCUUGUUUUGUCUAAUGAAUCGUCAUCUCUCAUGAAGAGAAAAGAGAAGAGUUAGAAAAAUUCUGAGAAUACUCUGUUUUCUCUGUUACUAAUUUUAAAUAUCUAUUUUCAAUUUUAAAUAUCUAAUUUUAGUAUUUAUUUAUCUAUUUUUUACUCCAAUUCUCAACGGAAACAUUAUGAAUCAUUUUUGCUCAUCACAAAAUAUUUAAAAUAUAUACAGAUUUUAUAACCUUACAUGCCAAAUUCUUGUUGAAAAUUCACUCCAGUCCAAAAAGACCUUGGAUGCAGAACUUUUACUAGUAGUAGCCAAGAGUCAGGAGAGUUGAUUAGAUGCUGCAUACAGACUACAUUGAAAUUAUAUUUGCUGUAAUAUUCCCCGAGCCAAAUAAUUUUAUGUAAAAAAAUUCUUUAGAUAUGAUCAUUUAGUACCAAUUACAUGAUAAUUGUAAUUGCCAAUUGCGACAGUUGAUAGUUGUGAUUUGUAAGCCGUUUACUUCUUGUCAAAGUUUUAAAAGUUUCAGAUACAUAAAUAAGACACAAAUUCCACAUUAAACCAGAUUCAAGCUUUUCAAUAUUCUCUUACGGCAUUUUUGAGCAUUAAAUACAAAACAAUAUCUACAAAUUCACCAUGCAGAAACACAACCUUCAGAGUCACAAAAAGAUGUGUUUACAAGAAAAAAAGUUUGCUGCACGCAUCUUUUCCUGGCAAAUGGCACAAAGAUGAACUGCUGCAUACCUGCAUUGAAUAACUUGUAGGUUCAAAAAACAACUUGACGUGAAGCAAAAUAUACUAAUAAAAGCAUCGACUCCCGCAUAUACUUGCCAAUUUAGUAUUUCAGAUGCUUCUAUACAAAAUCAAACAGUGGUAACAUGAGAUAAUGGAUAGCAUAGCCAUCAAUGGACAGCCUUCUCGAUCAAAACAGAGAAUGAGUGGUAAUAUUCGAAGAUAGCGACCCCCUAAGCAUUCAAAUUUAUGUUUUCCCUUGCCAUAACGCCAUUCUGCAUUUAUAACCUGAUACCUCCCUCUGGACGAUGCUUAGAACAAUUAUAUGUCAUCCGAGCCAUGAGAAACCCCAAACAACCUAAAAUGAAGGAUGACACGACACAAAUCUUGAAAUGGUCCAAAUUUAGCUUCAGCGAAAAAAAAAAAAUCUGACAAGGGUGUUACUAUUAUCGUAUUACAAGAUAUGCAUGACAUUCAUGAAUUCUACCAACUUCAGGACGCGUCACUCCAAUAAUGACUACAUGUUCCACAGGAAAAAGUCCCCAUCUGACAAAGGAUGGAGAGAUCCAAGAAGUCUCUGAAAAAAAAAAGGCUAUAACGCUUUUGAGAGAUCCAACAAGUAGUUUAGAGGUCAAACAUGUAGGGCCGCGCUUUGGUCAUACUCAAUCCACUAGCGCAGACGAGGAUUUUGGAGCCCUUUAUUAAGACUUGAGAUCAUACAUCCCAGCAAAUGUUAAAUGUUCUCUUGCCUUUAUCUUUUUCUUCAUUGCAGAAAGAGGGCAAAAUAAUAAUUGGGAAUGAAUUUUUGUCCCAGAUGACCAGGAAAUUAUCGGUUUUUACUAUUUGCAUACCAAAAGCCAUCUUCUUGCCAUUCAAAUCCAGCAGUAAGAACGUAGCCAUCACAAAGCAGAUAACGUUAUUACCAUAUGUUCGACAAAGACCGAAGUCUUCGUACACCCGACCGGUGUACUCCUUAAUAGGGCCUACCACCAAGCCGCCCUUGACAAACGCCAGCUAGACGAAGUUAAUGACUGAUAAUCGAAAGACUUGCACCAUGCAGUCUCCAGCACAUACUCGAUACAGUUUCAACAAUAUUUUACUGCUAUUUGGUUCCGAUUGGGCUUGAAAAUUUAACUCACAACACAAGAGUAUCGCUCUCCACAUGAUAUGUUGCCCUCUCAAAAGUGGAGAAAGAAGAAAAGGAGGGGAAAGGGGGGGUUUGGCUGGCUGCGAGAAAAUUAUUCAAGUGAUUUCAUGUGAAGAACAUGAAAGAAACUGCAGGUAGCCACGGUGUCCUAUUGAAGCAGUACCGGCAGAAUACAUUCAUUUAAGACUGUAAUCCAAGCAACAUAUUUGCCAUAACCUAAACUUUAUGCAGCUACAAUCUUUAUUUCUGCAGGCAUUCAGUGAAAAAAAAGAAAAUGAAGUAUAUCAAUCUAUCCUCUCCAGUUGUCCUUCAACUGCCUCAUCUUCUGAAUAGUUUCUACAGGAGACUUGCAACCUACCCUUGCCUGUAAAUAAAGCAAAUGUUGGUAUAGGAAAGGUAGUAUGCAAAAGACAAGCUCUAAAAAGCAUACGCACAUAGGAGCCGAUGAAAAGCACAAACAAAUAAAUAUAACAAGCCAAAAAUGGCCAGAAUUCCAGUUCAAUUUGCAUGCCAAUUUCCACAAGAAAAUCACAUGGUAAAACACAAUAAUUGAAAGCAAAUCUCGUCAAUCAAAAGCAAAACCUGAAGAUCCGGAAGAUCCACACGCAUGAAUGGAUUUGUCUCCCACUCGUCCUCAAUAGUAGAUGGGAUGGUGGGAAGCCCUGCUUCCCGCUGUUGCUGAGCCCAUGACAGUUUGUGCUGUGUCUUUACAUUGUCUGGUUCAACUGUCAGAGCAAAAUGCAAGUUCUUGACUGUAUACUGCAGAAACAUAUUAUCAGAUGUAACAAUGACUUAAAAAUAAAAGAAAAAUCCUUAACAAGAAUGAUCUCGAUACAAAGUGAAUAAAAUCAGCACACUUGCACUUUUUCAGUUAAGAACAGAAAUUUACUUCUUUGGAGCACAGAUCUUCUGAUAGAGUUAGAAACUGGAAAUGAUUUAAACACAAGAAGUGGAGAAGGACUGGUCUUGUAUUAAGACCAAGCAAGAGUUUCUCAAUACAGAUUCCUUUUCUGUAUAUCAAUACAAACAGGGAAAAUAAACCAGGCGAGACUCUCCCGUUCUAGCUCAAGCUAGCCAGCAAGUAACCUCACAAAAAAAUAAGAAAAUACUCAUAUCUCCAAGUUUCAGACUAUUGUUAUUAAUACUCAUAUCUCCAAGUUUCAGACUAUUGUUAUUUAAAUACAAGAGCAUUUCUCUGAAGGACAAACCUCUCCUCGAGAAAUCCUAACAGCCUAACUAACAAUAUUCCAUUUCCUUCCCAUUUGUCUAUUUCUUCUCAGUAAAUUCCAGCUGUCCUGUACCCAAAUCUGUCCUUGGGCCUUCUUUGUUUCUGAAUUUCUUCUUUAGGUAAACCUUCAGCUGCAUUGGGCCUAGACUUACAGCACUCUUGCUAUCAUUACCUACUUCUUCAAGAGCAGCCUUGUCCUCAAGGCUGAUGUCCGGGAAUUGGUUCAAAGCAUCAGUAGUAUUCAUCCAGGUAGCUUCUACCUUCGUCUUGCCCUUCCAUUUAAUCAAAAUUUGUGGAAUUGAUUCCCCAGCUAUUUCCUUAGUCCUCUUUUGUAGUAUUGCUUCUGGCUCCACCAUUUCUUCUUCAAUUUCCAUGCCCUUAGAUAGUUUCUCAGUAGCUUGAUGAUUCCCUACCAAUUUCUUCAGCUGGGAUACGUGAAAAACAGGAAAUAUCUGUAAAUCUUCAGGCAGCUGUAAUUUAUAAGCUAUUGAAUUACUAGUGAUGACGGCCGGGCUCUGAACGUUGUUGACCAACAUAGAAGGUUUCUAAUUAGGAGGAUUCAAAUUUUUGGAAUCCUAAUUAGGCUUGAUUUAAGAUAUUUUAUUUUUAUUGUAAGCAUUCCUAAUUUAAGUUAAUUCUUUGUGUAUAAAUACUCAAACCUUAUAAAUAUCAAUUCAAUUAUAAUAGAAUCGAAAAUUUCUCUCAAAAUUUUUCAUGAUACUAGAACUUUUUUCUUAAUUUUAGGGUUUAAAUUCAAUCUUUCUCUUAGGAUUUCUAAAAUCUUAGAUCUACCUUUUUGGUGAGGAAUCUUUUUUUAUCUCACCACCAACAAAGUCGCCGGACCAUCGCUGAUUAGCUGUCCAGCGUCGCGUGAGGCUCACGCGCCCUUGGAAGAUUCUGCGUCUUUCCCAUGCGCUGGUGCGUGUGACAUUUUCCGAUGGUCUUUUUCAACGGCGAUCCUUUCUGGCAAACUCACCUUCAAGUCGCACCACUAACCUGUGUGGAUUCGUGACUUGGUUCACCUUUUUCCAGCGUAGGAGACAUUUUCUGGUGGUUUAUUCGACAAUAAUCCUUUCCGGCAAACUCGCCUUCAAUUCGUGUUUCUGAUCAGCUGGACCCGUGCCUUUUUCGCCAUGAACAGUAAUUCUUUCUUCAAUAACAAUUUUUCCAAUGUUUUUGACAAAAAAGGUGGUUUUUUCUUGAAAUUGCAUUGAAUUGUGUGGGCAGUGUAAGGACUUCUAAUAAUGCUUUUGUUUCAUCUCUUAAUUCUGCUCCAUAGAUUAUUGAUUCUGGUACAAAUAGACAUAUAACAGGCUCCUCUGAAUGCUUUCACAAUUAUCUUCCAGGUCUACAAAAAGACACUGUUAGAAUCGCAAAUAGUUCUUCCACUCCUAUAUCUGAAACCGAUUCUACUGUUUGUACUCCAAAUAUCAAGCUAUCCUCUGUUCUUCAUGUUCCUUGUUCCCCUGUUGAUCUUUUAUCUGUUAGUGUUCUCACCAAAGCACUUAACUAUAAAAUUAAAUUUUUUUCCUGACCAUUGUGUUAUUCAGGAUCUUCAAAUUGAGAAGAGGAUUGGUAACGAUAGACCGCAUGAUGGCUUAUAUAUGUUGGAAGGGAAUCUGGGUUUGAAUUCACCAUGAGCUCUUUUUGGAAGAAAUCAGGAUAUCAACCAGGAAAUUAUACAGUGACAUCAACGGUUAGAACACCCAUCCUUCUUUGUAUUAGAGAAACUUUAUCUUGAUCUAUUUUCCAAGGCUCAAUGUGGUUCUUUAGUUUGUGAUACUUGUGAGCAUGCUAAGUAUACAAGAACCUCUUAUCCCUCUAGUAAGAGUAGAAGUAUGAUCCCUUCUAUGACCGUCCAUUCUGACAUUUGGGAACCUACUCAAGCAGAAACUCCCAUGAAAGCAAUCACAAGCUACAAGCAGGGAUUGGUGAAUCAGUGGAUAUGGGCAGAUAUAAGAAGUUGGUAGGCAGACUGAUUUAACUUUUGCAUACUCAAUCAAACAUAGCAUAUGCAAUCAGCUUAGUUAGUCAGUUUAUGCAUGAUCCCUAUAAGUCUCACAUGCAAGCUGUUUUUUACAUUUUGCAAUAGUUGAAGUCUGCUCCUGGAAAAGAUCUCCUAUUCUCUAAACACGGCCAUCUUCGCAUACAUUUAUUCACAGAUGCAGAUUGGGUCAGAUCCCUUGAUGAUAGAAGGUCGACUAAUGGGUACUGUACAGUUAUAGAAGAAAACUUUGUCACUUGGAGAAGCAAAAAAUAAAGUAUUGUUGCUCAAUCAAGUGCUGAGACGGAAUAUAGAGCGAUGACGCAACGUGUUUGUGAACUCCUAUGGUUGCAGAUUGUUGGAGGAAUUGAAACUAUUGGAAAGGGAGAAACUCCUCUUAUACUGUGACAACAAAGUUGUCAUCAGUAUAGCUCACAAUACAAUUCAAUAUGAUCGAACGAAGCACAUAGAGAUUGAUCGACACUUCAUUAAAGAGAAGUUAAUAAAUGGUGUAUUGAGGUUAGAUCAUGUGACUUUCAAUCAACAGCUAGCUGAUGUAUUUACCAAAGGGCUCAGCAACAAGACCUAUCAUAUUUUGGUUUGCAAGUUGGGCACGUGUAAUGUCUAUGCACCAACUUGAGGGGAGUGUUGACCAACAUAGAAGGUUCCUAAUUAGGAGGAUUCAAAUCUUUGGAAUCCUAAUUAGGCUUGAUUUAAGGAAUUUUAUUCUUAUUGUAAAUAUUCCUAAUUUAGGUUGAAUCUUUAUGUAUAAGUACUCAAACCUUGUAAAGAUUAAUUCAAUUGGAAUAGAAUAGAAUAAAAAAUUCCUCUCAAAAUUCUUCACCUCUCAUACAUCAUGAAAUAAUUAAUGAGCGGGUAAAGGGGCACUUGUUGACGACCAAGCUCUGGACGCCAAGGCCUUGGCAAAGCCCGGACUAGAAAGACUGGGCCUUAGUUUUAUUAGGGCCCAAUGCAUGGGCCUACUCCUUAUACAAGUCCAGGACUUGCCCCAACAAGCCGGACUGUGCACGAACCUGCACAUGGAGGCCCUGGCCUUGAAUAUCCAUUAGCCCCAUGGGAAAAUAAACCCUGUAAUGCCCAUAAUCAUGUCUAAGUUACACAUCACUAGAAGACAAAAAAAGUGAAUAAAAGAAAACAAAAAGGAGGAACAAGCCAAGCUAUUAAAAUAUACUCUUAACCCUGACCCCUUGUUGGAUCUCAGACAUCAACCGAAAAAGAGCUAUAGUACCUGGCUGCCAAUUUGGGAGAGAGAGAGUGUGACAGGUUGGUCUGUCUACAAGGGCACAAUUUGAGGAAGAUCAAAUCACCUUCUUUAAAUUCGACAUCUCGUCGAUGUUUGUUAGCCUCUUUCACCAUUCUCUGCUAAGCUCUUCUUAAAUUGUAAUUGCCUAAGCAAUUCAUCCCUGGUAACUAGUUCCUAAGCCACUGCUUCCACCUUGGUUUCUCUUGCUAGAUAUUGUUGUAACAUGAGAGGAGGUUUACCAUAAACACUUUCGAAAGGAAUUUUUUUUUUUUUUUUUGUCUGAGCUUUUGAAAGGAGUUAAACCAGCUAAACUGUGAUAGCUUGAAUUAUACCCAUACUCAACCCAAAGAAGCCAUUUGCUCCAAUGGUUGAGUUGUUCGAAAGUAAAGCAACGCAAGUAUAUUUUCAAUCCUCUGUUUAAGACCUCAAUCUACCCAUCUGUCUCCAGGUGGUAAGUCGUGCUCAUUUGUAAAUUAGUACCUUGCAAUCCGAAUAACUCUAACUAGGAAUGACUUAGGAAUAAUGGACCACGAUCACUGAAAAUCGUUCUAGGCAUUCCAUGGAGCUUCACGAUGUCUUUCACAAACACUUCAGGUAGCAUUUUAGCUGAGCAAGGGUGGCAUAAACCCAAGAAGUGGGCAUACUUUGACAGCCUAUCAACCACUACCAAAAUAGCAUCAAUCCCUUGGGAGGGUGGCAAGCCGGUGAUAAAGUGUAUGGAAAUAUCUUCCCAAAUUCUAGAUGGAAUGGGCAAUGGUUAAAGUAAACAUGCAAGUGAAGCAGCUUCAUAUUUACUGCGGUGGCAGAUUAAACAUUCUGACACAUAUUGUUAAACAUCCUUUAUCAUUCCUCGCCAAUAUAAGUUAGAAGCUAAUCGUUUGUAUGUACGAAAAGCCCCAUAAUGCCCACCAGUAGGAGAGGAAUGGAAUUCUGCUAGGAGCUUAGGAAUCCAACCAGAUAAGCUAGUAGAACCACUCUCCCUCUAUAAAAUAGUCUGCCAUGAAUCAGGAUAUAAUUAGCAUUUGAAGAGGGAUUUGAUUGCAGAACUUCAAUAAUUUGCUAUAGGCAUUCAUCUCAACUUCAAUUUGUUCCCAAUCCAACCAAUAAAUAGAAAUAAUAGUGGUGAGUUCCCGAUCCUCAUGGAGUUGAGAUAAGGCAUCAACAGCAUUAUUAGUUUGACUAGGUUUAUAUCUAAUCACGAAGUCAUAACCCAACAAUUUAGCUUCCCAUUCUUAUUGUGUCAAAGUGUGGAUCUGUUGCUGUAACAAGUGCUUCAAGCUACUAUGAGCAUUCUAUAGACUCUGUACUAUAAAUUUUCAGCCUUGAAAAUGAGCCUCUAAUGAUGAAUAGACAAAACUAAAGCCAUCAUCUCUUUCUCAUAUACAGACUUAGAUAGAUUGGAGGAAGUUAAUGCCUUACUGUAAAAAGCGAUUGGUCUCUUAUCCUGCAUCAACACCGCUUCCUGAGGCAUCACAUUCCACCACAAAAACUUUACUAAAGUCCGAAGUAGCCAACACUGGAGAAGUCACCAGAGCCUGCUUCAGUGUUUUGAAUGCUGCGUCAGCCUUUUUGGUCCAAAUAAGUUUCCCUUAGUGCUCCUUAAGCAGAUGUGUAAGCGGUUAUGCUAUGUGCCCAUAAUGCUUUAUGAAUCGUCGGUAGUAGCCCAUCAGUUCUAAAAACCCUCAAACACACUUAAGGGAUAUUGGUCGAGGCCAAUUGAGCACACUUGCAGUUAUUGAAGAAUUCAUAGGCAUACCUUGUGCUGAAACAAUGUGAUCGAGAUAUUCGAACAUUGUCAUCCCUAGUCAACUCUUUUUCUGUUUGACCCGAAAUUGCAACUGUGUUAAGAGUUGUAAUACAAUAGUUAAAUGGUGUAGAUGCUCUCAAGUCAAAGAAUCUUAUUGAGAAUAACUUCUUGAUCGUCGAAGUUGGGUAGCUCCAACCUUUUUAAUGGUAAAGUGGAGUCAUCCACCAAGGUAGAACUUACAGAAGUGAUGGGCUGAACGGUGGAGCUGUUCCAAACUAAGGCGUUAUAUUCAAAGUGUCACCUUCCUUUGUAACCCCUUUUCCACGAACCAAGGAAGUCGACAAUGAUUCCAACCUUGCAAACUUUUGAUCUUGUUCUGCUUCCAUCAAUGCUAACUUCUUUUCUUGAUCCAUUUUCAUGGUGGCUAGUAGCUCCUCAAUGCUGCCCAAGUUCCUCUCUAUCACAUCAACUCUUCCUUCCAUUUUAGUUUUCAUCAUGGAUGGGGAGGCAUCCGACAAGUCAAACAAACCAAUUUGAUAAAGUUAGAAACUGGAAAUGAUUUAAACACAAGAAGUGGAGAAGGACUGGUCUUGUAUUAACACCAAGCAAGAGUUUCUCAGUAUAGAUUCCUUCUCUCUAUGUUAAUACAAACAGGGAAAAUAAACCAAGAGAGACUCCUGUUCUAGCUCAUGCUAGCCAGCAAGUAUGCUAAAAAAAAAAAAAAGAAAAUACUCAUGCCUCCAAGUUUCAGUCUACUGUUAUUUAAAUACAAGAGCAUUCUCUGAAGGACAAACCUAUCCCCGAGAAAUCCUCUAACAGCCUAACUAACAAUAUUCCUUCCCAUUUGUCUUUUUCUUCUCAAUAAUUCCAGUUGUCCUGUACUCCAAUAUGUCCUUGAGCCUUCUUUGUUUCCGAAUUUCUUCCUGAGGUAAACAUUCAGCUGCCUUGGGCCUAGACUUACAGCACUCUUGCUAUCAUCUUCCAAUAACUAGAAUGACAAAUAUGAAAGUAUUAACUAUGUCGUUUCAUGGAAAACGGCUUAAACCAACCAGUAGCACAAUCCCAUGACCAGAUUGCGUACUGUAUCACUUUGAUGAUUUUUCUCAUUGUUUCUGGCAUAUAGCACUUCCAGUUGUUGCCAUUAUACCACAUAUUGACAGAAUGCAUAAACUCACACCCCUCAGUAUUAGCAGCAAAUGCCACUACUCAUAAAUCAUCCACUAUCAUAAGAAAUGCUCAAGAAUAAGUUUGGUAAAUUAUCCUUAUUAACAAUCCCGCCAAUCAAUUUAGACCUAUUCUUAUAUGCACCAUGGUUUUAAAAAACAGCCGUUACAUUACCCAAACGUAACGGACAUUAUAUAACGGGUUUUAGAGACCCACUGCCCAUUACUCUGUUACACAACGGCCCCACAUGAGUUGCAAGUGUAACGGUCGUUACGUAAUGGACAGUUACUGACCGCGAAGUAACGGUAACAGUUGUUACCAAUGAUAAAAUUCUUUUAUAUCCUUUCUCUUUUGCCCCUAUUCUCAUCUUUUUUAGUUUUCACAUUUUCCAGCAACUUUAAAGGCAAUAUUUUUCAAGUUUUCUCUUUCCUUUCUCUUUCAAAUUCCAAUAUUCCCUGUAUAUUUCUCAUACAAGCUUAGAUCAAUCAUAAACCACUGCAUUUCCAAGCUUGUUUCUUUUAAAAGAUUAGUUAAAUUUUCUGUAUUUUAUUUUUUAGCUGUUAUUUUUUGUCUUUAUUUUAAUUUUUUAUGAAUUAAAGUGUUAGUUUUGAAUUAAAAAUAUACUUUAAGCUAUUAGUUUACUUGAUCUAUAAAGAUUGCUUUGGUUUUUCUUAUUUUAAACUAUAUGAUGCUUAAUUUAAGUUAAAUAGUCUAUAUUUAAUAUAUUUAUGUUUGUUAUGCAUUUAUAUUACAUUAUUCUGAAUUAAAUCUAAUCAACAUCAUUUCAUUUUAUAACCUUUGCAAAUUGAUUUAAAAAAUUUGAGUAGAGUCAGGCCGUUACCGUUACGUUACAGCUGUUACAGGUCUAUUUCUGUUAGACUGUGACCGUGAUCUAAAACCAUGAUAUGCACUCUCACUAUAGAAUAUAAGAAACAUCUCUACUAGUAUCUUCAUCUUCAAACUUACCAUAAACCAUAAUAAUGGCUCAAAUGUUGAGAGUAGGGGGGACAAAUUGUCUCCCUAUCCAGAGAGAAAGGAAAACAAUACCAAUUAUCAACUUUACCUUUACUAACAAACCAAAUUCAGAAAAUAGUUACCUCAUGACCACAAUAGACUUGAGUAGGCUUUGGCAAUGAACCCAAUGUUUGACACAGCGAUUGAUACAUCUGUUCUGCUGUGCCUUCAAAAAAUUUCCCACAACCAGCAAUAAACUGCAAAUCAACUAAAUUAGAAAUGCCAAUUUUCUUUAAACUGUAUUAUCAGAACUGAAAUAUUAUCUUUAAAGGGAAUUUAGGCUAAUUAAACAAGUGGCGUGAGAACUUGCCACGAGCAGUUGUACCUAGCAAGUUUAUAUUCUACAUAUUUUCCAUACUUUAUCUUCCCUAAAUUUGGAAAGCUCUGAAUACCAAACAAUUUCUUAGAGAUGCUCGCACAAAGCUGAUUACCAUUUGUUGGUCAUAUGAUUAUACCAGAUGACAAGAGGAGAAGAAUUUUUCCUUGCAAAAGCAUUCAUAUUGCUGAUUAAAAUAAGCUUACUUUAGCCUACCACUCACUAGAUGGAUUGACAAGGUAUAUAUGGAAAUUCCCUGUUGACCAGGGUUCCAUUCCCCUUCCCUACCUCAACUAACUAUAAAAAAAAUAAUAAGCUUAAUUUAUAUAUCUAGUUAAAAAAAAUGUUUCAGAUAAAAGACAUAAGAUCUUCCUCUGAACUUACUAGAGUGUCACCAGUGAAAACUGCUGGAUCCUCUCCAUCCUUGCCCGUCACAUAAUAACUGAUGUGUCCUUUGGUGUGACUACCAAAUACCAAAGGAAAGUUGGUUAAUAAGGAAGAAGAUUAAACAAUCAAUUUGUUACUUCUAUGGAUGAAAAGGAUACUCUGAAAAAGAUUGAAAUUAUAACCAAAUAAGCAAGAAUUUUCAGAAGCCUCGGUAGUUUGAGAAAAAUUCAUGUGCAAGAGAACUCAGCCCAUGUUUGUAUUCCUCCACUGAUCAAGUAAAAGUUCAAAUUCAUGAAAUGGGUCCCUAGAAUAUGAUAACCUUUCGAUGUGUAUUAUGCAAGUGAAAAGCUCCAACUACCGUUUUUUCUCCCUCAAGCUAAAUCACUAGAGAAGAACUUAUGGAAAUCCAACUUUUUUCUACACAAAUUUCCCACUAACAGGCCCUCACUUUAUGCAAAGAAGUAGAAGAGAAAUUGCGUAAAAAAGCAUAAAAAUUUAAUCUUGGAAUAGAACUAAUUAGCAGAGGAGGAGUGUCAUGUGAAUAAAUGCAUACCAAGAUGAUGAUGGAGGAAAGGCAAAACUUGCAACGGUAAGGGUAUAAAAGCAUACCAAGGAGUGUGAAGGGCCAAAAUAUUAACGUGAGACCCAAGUUGCAAUUUAUCACCGUUAUCCAAUUGAUGGGUACAACCCUUCACGUUGUCAAAGGAACCACCAUAAACCUGAAGCCCAGGCACCAGCUGCUUCAUCUUCUCAUUCCCCCCUGCAUGAUCCCUACCAAACACAAAAAUCGAAAUGAUCACUUCCUGGGCAGUCGAGAAAAAUUAGAAAUUAAUUAAUCUGAGCAGUACCAGUGAUGAUGAGUGGUGAGAACAAACUUGAGAUGGACUUGGUGCUGAUUAGCAGCUUCAAAAAUCUUAUCCGGCUCGACGGGAUCUACCACUGCCGCUUCUUGAGUGUUCUCAUCGAUAAUCCUGCGUAAAUUUACUAUAAGUCAAAAAUCGAAAUCAGACAAUCAUGAUCUAACAAAUAAAAAUCACUUACAGAUAGGCAAAGUUAUCCUCCAAGCAAGGGACAUGAAAAAUCUUCAUCCUUUUUACUCCAGGACUUCCCACUUACACAGCGAGGAUUCAGAAAGUAGAAAUGGGAUAGUUUGCAAAGUCGUAGCAGCGAAUAAACGUGGGCCAAGUGCUACCUAUAAGCCAAAUGAGUCCUGAACUUUCCGUCAAUCUUAAAAUAAACUUAAUUCAAUCUUUUUUUUUUUUUUUUGAAGAAAUUAAUUCAAUCUUAUUUAUCAGCUAAAAUCUUUAACUUAGAAUAUGUACGAAUAUAAAAUUUCGGUUGUAAUGGACACUAAUCAGAUUCCAUACCAAAUACCGUUAAAGUUUUUAUUUAUUUGUGAAGAUUAAGAUUGAAUUUUUUGUUAGAUUUUAAUAAAAUUAAAUUUUAAAAAUUAAAGUAUUAAAUUUUAAAAAUUAAAGUAUUAAAUUUUAAAAAUAGAAAAAUAAAUUUAUUAAUUAUAUUAUAUUUUAAAAUAAAAAAUAUUUUUUUUCUUAAUUUUUAUUAUAUUUAUUGAGUUUAAAUUUUGAAUUUAUUGAAAUUUUUAUUUAUUUAUAAAAAUUGAAUUUAAAAUUUUUAAUUUGUUACUUUGAUUUGAAAAUUAAAUUUUGUUAAUUUAAUUAUUUCAGAUAGAUUUAUAAAUUUAUAAAAAUUAAAUUUCAAGGCAUUUUAAAAAGGUGAUUCGAUUACUUUUUCUAUUACUAAUUGAUGAUGUGAGAUUCAGAAAAUAGGGUUUUAUAAAGGGUUUGUAAGCUUGGUCUUAGCGGAGGGGGCUCAUCUCCUUUUAUCCUUUUUCUUGAUCUGUCAGUGACGUGUAAUGGCCUCACUGCCAUUGGGCUACCUGUCUCUGCCAUACGGAUACGGUCGUACGAAAAUAUCAUAUAUCUGCUCCAUGCGUAACGGCCAUUUAAUUCUCCCUUUUAUCACACGGGUUAACCGAGCGGUUCGGGACUAGGCCUGUGAUCCUCAUGUUGUUAAGCUUCCAUGCCGGGCUCGGGAAGAGUAGGCUGGGUCUUGAGAAAAGCCCAACCUCAAGGAUGAAUGGGCUGGGCCUUCUCACUCGUGGGACUCCGCAGGUCCUGGACCGGCCCUGUCACUGUGGGCUCGGCCUCUUCCCAGGAUGGUGAAACCCAGAGGUCAUCAAUUGCCCUUUUACCUUCUCAUCAGUUAUUACAUGAAUGAUGGGAGGGUAAACGUCGAGGACCUAUUAUGACCGCGCGACCCGAGAACUUUCCCCCUUAAAACAUUUCUCUUUCCUUGUACUGUUUCAAAAUUCGAAAUUUCUCUACUUUUCCAGAACCCUUGUGCUUCCCUAUGCGCUUUGCUUGCUCUGUCCUUUUGCUCUAACCACUUUCAAGGUACGCUUCUUAUUUCACCAUGGAUAGCCCUAAGCUUCCCGAUGUCUUUGAUCUUGAGUCUAGCGUCACCCCUUCUACUUUAAAAAAUUUCAUUUCUCGGGAGUAUUUGGACACUCCCCUUUAUCAUAUUCGAGCUCCUUACCGGAACGAGAGGAUCAUUCUUCCCGAUCCUCCUCCUCACAGCUUAGUAGACCCCCAGAAAGGUUUUAGUUUAGUCUUUUUUGUCAAACAAUGAGAAUACGGUCUAACCUUCCCCUUUUCUCCUUUCUUCAUUGAGGUCUUCCGGUACUUCGAGAUAACCCCUCGAAUGCUGGCUCCUAAUUCCAUUCUUUUCAUGUGUUCUUUCGAAUCUGUCUGUCUGAGCUAGGAGUUCACACCCACGCGCAUCUCUUUGUUACCUUUUUUAGGCUGGUUAGGGCAAGCCAAAGCUUUUAUUAUUUUGCCCCUCGUGGAGGGCUAUCUAUCUUCUCGGGUCAUAAGGACUCGAUAAAGAGCUGGGUGGAGGCGUUCGCUGUGGUUGAGCUGAAGAAGGACUCCGGGUUGUCUUGGGAAGUGGAGCUCUCAUGGGAGGAUGUCCCUCUAGGCUGCAACGACUUGCCCCAGCUAAGUCUUACCGAGCAGGUCGGGUUCCUUCGACUGACUUCUGUUGAAAGGAAGUAUGAUGUCGAAAAAUGUAUGUUCGUAUCUAGCCUUCAGGGUUGCAGGGCUGCUGGUACUUUAUUUCAUUUAAUAGUUUUGCCUUUUCUUUGUGAUUUUUACUAAGGGUUGUUCUAAUUUAUUUUGGUUUUGGAUCUUUGCAGCUUCCGACGUUAAGAUGGACCAGAUUAAGCCCCCGAAGAACUUCACCUUGUCUCGAGAGAGCAUGAAUGCUGCUUUAGAUGCCCUCCGAGCAGGGCGGUUUGUGUCGGAAGCCACUCAGGAGGUGGCCCAGGUCAUCUCUUCCAGAUCGGCAGGUCGGUCUUCUCAUCCUAUUUCAGCUUCUUCCCGAGCUCCCAAGCCGAGCUCCCAAGGUGUCAAGACCUCUAGGCCCUCCAGCCGCAACAGGUCGAGCUCGAUUCCUCAGUCUUCCCAGGCCCCGAAGUCCCAACAGGUCUCUGUUGUGAGGACGGAGAGGGUUCCCAGUGUUACCGACAGGUCGGUUGAAGAUCCUGGGCAUGUGAGGACGGAUGUUGCCUCAUCUUUAGAGGAUGUCCCUGAAGAAAGAGCCCAAGUCGCUCCGGUUGAUGGGAGAGCUUCAGGUGGUGAAAUGGAGGUUUUAGGAGCUUCCGUAGAGAUUGCCCCCGCUGCUGAGGAUGUUCCUAUGGAGGGGGUCGAGUCCGAGCUAAAAGAUAGCAUUCCUCCCCGAGAGGAGUCCUCAGUUGUCCCUGAGGGUCCUGUCGAGGGGGCCACGAACAAGCGUCCUCCCCUUUCUGAAGCGCCUGCCCCGGCUCCUGUCCCCAAGAGGUCUCGGGCCUCUAGAAGACCAGCUCCAGCCCUGCCUCCUCUAGAAAAAGAAAAAACUCCGGUGGUGCCUCUACUCUCUGCUGCUAACAACGAGAUUCUAAACGCAGAGGACAUCACUCACCAAUCUCCAGCAAGCAUUGUUGCGGAGAUCCUACGGGAGCGGAUGUUUGGCGGGGCUACAGAGGCUUCAGACCCUCGUCUGCUUGCUCUUAUUGGCCUUUUGGCUAGCUCUACUCGAGAGCAAGCAACAUUCCGGUCUCAAACUCGAGGGGAGCUUGGAGACACAAUCAAGUAGAUGCUUCUGAUGGUAAGUUGUUCUUCUUAACUUGGGAAAUUUCUUCUUCAUUUACAUUACCUUAUGCAUUGAUAUUUCCCUCUUUAUGCCAAUUGAUGGGCCUCUUCAUGGAAGUAGACGCCCGCGACGAGUCCACCCGGAGCACAGUGGACCGCCGGAUUGAGGAGGCGCGCCUUGAGAAGAAUUUGGCUGCGACCAGCGAUGCCCGGGGUCACCUGGCUGCAGCCUAGGAGCACUUGAAGACCCUCUGGGAAGAGCUAGCUUACACUUGGGAAGCUGUGGAGAGGGCUGAUAAGAGGGCAGCUGCUGCGGAGGUCCGCCGUGAUGAGGCCUUGGAGCAGCUGUCCUCCUUAGAAGAAGUUCAGAAGGAGAGGGAUGAGGCCAUGAGCCAAAGGGAUGAGGUCCAGCAUCAGCAUGAGUCGCUGAAGGCAGAUUUGGAGGGGGCUUGGACUCGCUACUGUUGGGAAAUCCUGAGAUUAUUGCAACCCAGUUGCGUAGCGGAAAAUAAAAUCUCUGUUGAUUUCCUUUCCCAGAAUCCGAGUGCUUCGUUUAAUUCAAAAGAUGGAUAUGAGACUAACAUGUUAAUCUCAUCAAGAAGAAACAAUGCCGGACUGAUGGUGGUGUCUUUUCAAACGAACACUCUCAAUGGUAUCCACACGAACGUCUUCUAUCCUUUUAGAGUGCUAGCUCUCUCAAAGAUGGAUAGAUUAUGUGCUCCACAAUCUGCAGUUCUAGACUGAGUUUUUUCAAAAACACGUACCUUCCACAAUUCGUAAAAGGGGUAUUUAUAUGUUUCAGUAGUUGUGUUCAUAACCCACUAUCACAAUCUUGCAGAUACUUAAAUAUAUUAUGUGAUAGAAUCCUUUAUCUGUAACAGUUAUAGAUAGACUACAGAUCUUUUAAAUAUUAUUAUCUCAUAAUAAUAAAUGAUUAAUAAUAAUAACACUUUAUUAUUAUUAAAUAUUAAUAAUAAUAACACUUUAUUAUUAUUAUUAAAUAUAUUAAUGAUUAAUAAUAAUAACAUUUAUUAUUAUUAAUUAUAUUAAUGGGCUUUGGGCUAAGCCCAUUAAUAUGACAUAGCACAUCAACAACGUUCUUUUGUGUGUGAUCCAGUCCCACAAGGCCCAUAAGUCAUAAGUGGCCUCUAGUAAGACAUUAUGACUACCCAACUAAUUAUGAGGAUCAAUAGUCCGAUAAAACCUAAUAGAACAUGAAUUAAUCCCUUUGUCACACGAUAUCUAGUUUGAACAUAAGUCAUGGUCAAUGUCAAACUUAUAAAGUUCAAACUGAUGAUUUCUCGAUCUCUAAGUAGACUGAUAAAUUCAAAUGAUAUUGAUCACAUUAUCAAUUCAUUUGAGCACGGUUAUGCAUUUCUCAGUCUCACUUAUCGAGGGGCCCAGAAGAUAUCUCUCUCAUAGAGAGGAACAAAUCCUAUCUUGAUUGUUCAUUAUCCUCUACAUAAUUUCUAUUAUGCUCAAUCAUAACCUUUAUGAUUGUCCGAUUAAAGACAACGUUUGGUUAUGUCAAAACAUAAUAGUCCUUAUGUUUGAAACUAUGACAAUCUCAAGUCAAAGGAUUAAGACAUAACUACUUUGAGAUUCACUUAUGACAAUGACCCAUGUAGUGAUCUCAAUACGGGUCCAUCCAAUACUUUGUUCUCUAACAAGUAUUUAUGAUUAUUGAAUUAUAUCAACAUAUACAUAAUCAUCUCAUGAUUAUCAAUCAAUAAUCAUAUCAGUUAUAUUUUAUUAUUAUCAAUAUAAUAAUAAGUAACCAGGGAUGAUAAUCAUUAUUAUGUAACAUGCAAACAAAUAAUAAUGAUAAAAACCUCUUUUAUUAAUAACCAAAACGACAUACAAAAAGGUACAAGAUAAUGAUUUAGGAUAUAUACACUAAGAAAUUUUCCCUAGGAAAUUGUGGAGGACCUGAACCGAGUAUAUUUCUUGAAGAUAUCUUGUAUUCUUUUAACCUUCAAAACUUUUAAUCCUUAAUUGAAUAAUCUUCACAGAUCCCUUAAGAAUAAAGCUCCGCUACUAAUUGAUAGAGUUUAAUAGAUAAAAAAAAUAGAUAGGGAAUAGAUAAAAGAUGAAGAGAAUAAUAAAAUUUGCUAGAAAAUCUCAUAAACUUUCAUUGAUAGAAAUCAUAUUUAUAUAGGGAAAAUUACUUUGUAGUCCCUGAGGUUUAAUGUAAUUAACACUUCUGUCCCUCUAUUUUGGCAACCCAACACUUAAGUCCCUCACUUUCUUUUCUAUCCAACUUCGUAGUUCUUCCGUCCAAAAUAGCCAUUUGGGACACGUGAAUUGACAAAAUUAACCCUCUUCUUCUUCUUCUUCUUCUUCUUCUUCUUCUUCUUCUUCUUCUUCUUCUUCUUCUUCCCUUUUCUGCAACUUCUUCUUCUUCUUCUUCUUCUUUCUUCUUCUUUCUUCUUCUUCUUCUUCUUCUUCUUCUUCUUCUUCUUCUUCUUCUUUCUUCUUCUUUCUUCUUCUUCUUCUUCUUCUUCUUUCUUCUUCUUUCUUCUUCUUCUUCUUCUUCUUCCUACUCUUUCUGCAGCAGCUUCUUCUUCUUCUUCUUCUUCUUCUUCUUCUUCUUCUGGAAUUUCACAUUGAAAGAAGGGUAUUUUUGGAAAAAAUUAUCACAUCUCACCUUUGACUCUUUGACCAAACGGUUUAAAUGGACGGAAGGACUACGAAUUUGGACGGAAGAGAAAGUGAGGGACUUAAGUGUUGGGUCGCUAAAAUAGAGGGACAGAAGUGUUAAUUACGUUAAACCUCAGGGACUAAAAAGUAAAUUUCCCUAUUUAUAUAUCUAGGAAACUUCAUGAAAAAGUAUAACAUUAAUAACAAACACAAAAAAUGAAUAACAUACUUAGGAAAUAAAAAUAACUUUCAUAUAUCCAAUAAGAAUUUUAGAUAUUUAAUAAACAUUAAAUACUCAAACCUUCUAGAAGAAAUAAUAGAUAAAAAUCUUUAUUUUAACAGUUCCCAAGAGCUUAUUAAUUAAUCUCCCAUCAAAGAUGAUCCUCUUAGUAAUGUAAAAUCAUUACAUGUUAGGAAAAUUUAUAGUGACUAUCAUUGUUAUCCCAACUUUGGUUCCAAAUAACGUUGUAGGUGCCACAUGAAUUGGUGCCAACCUAUAAAUAUCUAGUCAAAUACCAAAAGAAAAGAUAGUCCAAUGCAAUUUUGUCAGGGAGCAAAUAUGAUUUUAAUGGGUGUCGAAAUCACAAAAAUAACCUAUUAAAAAACCAAUAAAUAUGAAUUGUGUAUAGAGUGAAUAUGGUCGAAUCUAUAGGGAAUUGACACUAAGAAUUUCUAAACAAUGAACUAGGAAAAUAAACAAUAAAAGUAAAAAAGGGAGGUUUUUGAUGAUGAGUUAGAAUAAAAAUCAAAGCAAAUAAAGAAAGUGAUGAUCAAAAGAGAAUAAAAUUAAUGCAAGUAAAUUCUAGUUGAAGAUUAGGAUCCCAUUCAGUUUUGGAAAUUAAUCAUAGAAACAAAAAUACUUUUGUUCAUUACAAUAAAUUAGUUAUAGUUAUGGAAGAUGCUCCUCAUAACCAAUCUCUUCUUAAGUGUAAAUUAAGCUUUGAUACCAAUCUGUAACGACUCGAAUUCGGACCGCCACCGGCGCUAGGAUCCAGAUCGACUUAAGGUCGCCGGGACCCGUAGCAAGCCUAACAUACAACCUGUCAUACUUGAUAAAUCUCAUACAUGAUCAUACAUUUACAUAAAAAAUUUUAAACUUUCCAUCUACCAAACUUGACUUGUGCAUGCACCAUAACUAUAAAUAGAAAACCCCACACUAGAGCCCUCAUCAAAUGCUCUAGUUGGGUCAACAUUACAUUAAUCAAGCUUGGUUUACAUCUCAACACAUUAAUAAAAAUAUUUCAUAAUGAUCAUGAACAAAAGGGAUUAACCAUAAACUCUAGGGUCAAGCACAAUACUAAUCCUCAAUACAAUUCUGUACAAUAUCUUACAUUACAUUAUUCUUUCAUGUUCACAACUAACUAUUACAUACACAAACUUUUACUCUUGCUGACUUCCUGGUCUAUCCCGAACCUGCAAACCUGGGGUUAAGGGAAAAGGGUGAGCUACUAGAGCCCAGUGAGCAGAAUAGGAAAACAAUAUAUUAAAAUCCAUGCUUCCAUGAAAUGCAUCACAUCACAAACAAAUCACAUCAAGGAUGGACUUGUCACCAAUAACCCUCUACGUAUCCAUUAGUGCCAGGGGCGUAGAAUGGGCCUCGACCUGGACUUUCUCUUAACAUAACAUAACCAUAACAUAACAUUCCAAUGUGCCAGGGGCGUAGAAUGGGCCUCGACCUGGACUUUCGUACCAUACCAUAUCAUAUCAUAUCAUAUCGAGGGCUAAUGGAUCAUCCAAUAACCAUCCACAUCAACAAUAAUUAAUGCAAUGCAUCAUAUUCGUGAAUUCUAAUGCAAACAACCUAGUAUACAUAUAUCACAUGGCAUUCGUGAUGCAUGAACAUGCUCAAAAUUUAUUUACUUUGAAACAUAAAGAUCCAUUCUACUCACCUCAGGCUGGCUCUGAAAAGACUCUGAAGCAGCUAUCUCACUGCUGGGGUCCUCGGUUCCUCGGAUCCGAACCUACACGGGUGGACUCAAAUGAGGAACCAAACAUACACUAACAUGACUCUAAACAUCUCUCCAAAAACUCCCUAAAACAUCAUAAAAAAUUCAUAGAAAAUAUGCAAAGGAAGGCUGAACAGGGCACUUUCGGGGGCAGGGUUUGGCGGCCGAAAGUCUAUCCAGAGCCGAAAGUCACCAACCUUCGGCGGCCGAAACUUUCCUCCAGAGCCGAAAGUCCAACUUUCGGGGGCAAGUUUAGGCGGCCAAACCACCACCAUAGGCGGGUUCGCGGCCGAACAUGGCUUCGGCAGCCGAACCUGAGUUAUUCCAGAAUGGCAGAACUCAAGCCUCUCUCACACAUUCAGCCAACCAAACCUCUCAACUCAAACCAAAACAUGCAAAAACAUGCAUACACACAUUCUUAAGCAUUUAGGGGCUUAAAACUAACCUAUACCCCAACAACAUCAACAUAGCAACACAUUUAGCACACAUUUCAUCAUUUAACUCACCUAAACCCUAACAUUUUACAACUACUCUAAUCAUGCAUCCAAUAUCCUUCAAACCCCUCAAAACUUACUAAAAACAUAUAAGAAGGGUAGGAUCUACUAUUACCUCUUGAAAAUCGAGAGGGGAGGCGAUCCAAACUCGGAGAUGGGGGGAAAUCGAGCUAUGGGAUCUCCAAGCUUCAAAACUUCAGUUUUGAGCUUAAAAACUUCAAAACAAGAUGAAAGCUUGUCAAAACUUGAAGAGAUUUGAAGGAAAACAUCAAAACUAACCAUGGAAGGGCAUGGACUCACCUUUGCCCGAAAAUGGAGAAGAAAACUCUCCCAUUUUCGGACAUGGGGCCUUUUAUAGGUGGCUGGCCAGACCACCUUCGGAGGCCAAAUGUGCUCCCUAAACUUUACCAUGUUCGGUGGCCGAACAUGAGGUUCGGCGGCCGAACAUGAGGUUCGGCGGCCGAACAUGAGGUUCGGCGGCCGAACAUGAGGUUCGGCGGCCGAACCUGCCUUUCCUUCCUUGGUGCUUCUCUUUCAAAAACUCAAUUUCUUUCUUUGUUAAAACCAUGAAAACAUGUAAAAACAUUUUAUAAAACAUAUUUUAGAAAAACCUAUUUUACCCUUUUAGAGAGUUCCAAUAUCCGAGAUUCCGCCGAAAGGCAGAAAUUCCGAUGCCGGAGUCUAGCCGGGCAUUACAGAGAAGAUCGAGUCAGCCAUGGAUAAAAAUCAUUAUUCUGCCACCUAAGGGGACGGUAACUAAAGCUUCUACCACUAAUUGUGUUAAGAUUCACCUAUGGUAAGCAUGUCGGUAUUGACUAUAUGUAGCCACUACUAAAAACUAAUCUCCUCACCGAUCUAUUAUUGUAUUAGAGAAAACAUUAGAGGAACAACAAAAGCAGCCCUUAUCUUGAAGCUCACUUGCAAUCAGAACUAAAAAAAAAAAAAAAGAAAGAAAAAAAAAAGCAAAAAGAAAACACAAGAAAACAAAACAAAGAAAACAAACUACAAACCCCCCACCCAAAGAGCAGUGAACUUGUAACUAAAAAAAUAAAAAUAUAUAUCCUUAGUGAUAAUAAUAAAUUGUUAUAAAAAAAGUUGGAUGAACAAUAUAAAAUAAAAAUGGUUUAAAAUAAAAAAUAAAUAUGCCACUACCAAUUAGGAGGAGAAUUAAGUGUGCGGAAAUUUUAUAAAAAAAAAUGCUAACUAUUGCAAGCUAUGAAGAACUUAAGUGUAUGAAAAAAAUUUUUAGACCGUAGCCAAAACAUAAUUGCAAAAAUUUAAUUUUUAUUAAGUAUAUAUGUAUAUGUAUUACUGAAAUCGGUGUAGUCGUGCACCCUGCACUCCUAUCUCUUCCUGUGUCACAGGGAAAGGGCAAUCAAGAGAGGUGGGGAAGCCGCUAAACAAUACUGAAAGAGUACGGACUCCAUCAAAGAAAAACGGACCCAAGCAGAGAGAGGUUUUUUUGCGAAGCCAUUCAAGUUGUGUGAUUAAGAUUAGCUACACGUGUUUUUUCAAUUGUCCAUUUGCCCUGGAUUGGUGGAGUUGCUUUGUUUUCGGUCCCAAGCUCUCAAAAUUGUUCUGCGUUAAGGGACUGGUCCCAUAGCCCCUUCCUUUCUGCAGAUGCAGAGAUGAUGGGAAAGAUGUCCACUAUUUUAUGGAAUAUUCGGUACCACAAGAACCUGUUGCUUGUGGCAGGGGAAGAGGCCGAGUAUGGUCUAACAAUUGAUUGCAUCAGCAUUAAAAAAUUGUUGAGAGAUUGGGAGUUAGCGUGCAUGAGGCUUACUUGAGGCAUGAUCAGUUAAGAUAACAUGACUUGGCUUUUUCUAAUUAAAAAUGAUAAAAAAAAGUGUUCAUUAGUUAAUUUAACAUGAAAUGCAGGAUCAACAAGCCCAAUUAAAAAUAAAAACAUAUAGAGUAAAAUUGGUAGAAAGAGUAAAUAUUUGAUAAUGUUACAUAGGCAGAAGUAUAUAUAGUUUUAUUCAAACUCAAAUAAAUUAUAUUAAAGAGAAGAACCGGAUUCUGGUUCUGUUAUAUCCUAUACGUAUCCGACAGAAGCUGAUGCCUUUACAAGCAACCCAAAGAGCACAAAUGGGGAUGAAAAAAAUGGACUGUGAUCAGUAUCCAAAACAUAAACUUGAGAUGGUGGCCACCUGUUUAUCAUUGCCUCUUGUUGCUGAGGUUUGAUGACAUGAUCGUGCAUUGUCUUUAUGUACACACGCUUCACCUUAUCUAUCCCAUUAUCAUCCUCUUCUUUGAACUGGGCUGAUUGUAAUGCUAGGAUUGGUCCUGGCCUCAAAAGCAUCGAAGCUAGGGUCGAAUCCUAUAUAAUAAAGAUGAAGGAGCCAUCAACAAUAAAAGCAGCAGCAACUAAAGGAAUGGAAGAAGGACUAUAUAAUUAAAGAGUUACUGUCUGAUUCCCAGCAAAGGCAUAAAGUCGACAGUGGCAAAUCUUUUUUUCCCCAUAAAAAAGGGAGCGGAGGCUUGUGGGGAAGCAUACACAUCAUAUCAUUGUACACUAGCCAGCUACAAUUAUUAAGCAUGACAUAUAUAUAUAGUCCUGAUUCUCUACAAGUUCAAAUACAAAAAAUAAAUAAACAAACAAAUUAAUAUAUAAAUCUCACCUAUAUAUAUAUAUAUAUAUAUAUAUAUAUAUAUAUAUAUAUAUAUAUAUAUCUUGAAUCCAUAAUGAGCCUAAGAUUUUAUAUAUAUAAAUGCAUAUAUGUAGGCAAACCUCUUGUGGGCUCAUUUGAUAGAUGAUUUGGCGUUGGAAUUCUUUCUUGAUGAUGGCACUGGUAGGAGGCUGAUCGCAUCCCAAUCCAAAUCCCAGCUCAUACACGUCACCAAAUGAGGAUAGGUCAGGAACUCCCUGUCAAUUUCCACAUACAGGCCUAAUUAAGCAUCAACUUUAUCUUAUACAUUAAUUGACCUUGAUACGUCAUUUCCUUUGCUGCUCUCGAUCAAUCAUAGGGAGUAUAAUGGAUAUGCAUGAUAUGAAUUCAAAUAAUGAAGUUGCGAUCAAUAAAUAAAUUUUUAGCUUCAUCUGCUAUCUAAUCUUGGCAUGGAAUCAAACCAAAUGGUGGUGUUGAUGUAUAUUUUACAUCUAACAAGCAUAUAUAUAUAUAUAUAUACACACACACACGGGAGAUUGAUGUGGGGCUCAAAUCCGUAACCUGGGAUCUAGACGAGUUACUUUGUCAUUACAUCAAACCACCCACUAACUAUUCUGAUUUUGUUUUAAUGUGGAAAGGUAACGUAUAUACACAGUCAACUCCAAUGGUUAAUGCCUAACAACCCUUCAAAAUACUUAAUGAAGACAGUUGGAUGCCAUAUAACUCUCUCUCAUCCCCAGCUCACAACAAAAAUGCCCCGAGAAAAGAAAGACCCUCUGUUUCUCUAGCACUAUAAGAGAAAGGAUAGAGUUAAUAUAUAUGUAUCAGCAUAUAUAUGAGUAGUUCAAUAAUUAAACAAGAUUAAAAACAAAAUUAACUCAUGAGAAAGGAAAAUUCCAUCGAAAGAGCUACAAGAAAAUUACAUCUUGUAUAUCUUGAUCCGUCCAAAAACCCAACUUGAGCAUGGUGGCAGCUACAUACACAGCUAAACGGAUCUUCUUUGCCAACUUGUGAGUCGCCUGUGUUAUGCUUAGCCCCCCAGCGCUAUGCCCCACCAAUAUCACCUGUAAAGAUGAAGAGGGAUCGAUUAAUAAUCAUCUAUUCCAAAAGAGUAGACACUUUAAUACAUCAAUAAUUGAAGGACAAGGACCUGCUCAUGAUCAGGCAAGGAAGAUAAGAAGUCCAUGAGAGGCUUAUUAUAUUCAUCAAAAGAGAGGACAGAAUUGGCAUCUGCUUGAUCGAUUCCUGCACCUUUGAGGUCAACACAAGAGACUUUAUAGCCUGAGUUCUCCAUGAGACACCGGAUUUUGUACCAGCACCAACCCCCUCCACUGACUCCAUGCACCAGUACAAAGUGUGGCUUUGGGUUUGAUGAAAAGGUUGUGUCUUCCCUCAUGUGAAUUGCCUCCUCGCCCAUCUGCCCUUCUGAGUUCUGAUUGAUCAAUUGAUCUUUAUUUUUUGCUACUGAAAAUCAAUCACUGUGCUCUUGGAAAUUCAAGUUGGAAUAUAUAUAGAUAGACACAGUUAAUGGAGAGAGUUUGUGUAUUUGUAUUUAUAGUGAUCAAAGAGAGUAAUGAUGAUUGCCUUUAUGUAAUCAUUAUUGGAAGUUUAAAGGAAGGAGAGAUUGAGUUAUGUCUGUAUAGGCUAAACUCCACCUUAAGAAUAUUAAGGUACAUACAGUACAAUCGCGGAGAUGUUUCCUUUUUUUCACAUGAUAUGUACUUGUAUAUGUUACUAUUAAUAUCAAUGGUUCACAUGUUUCCGUCAUCUUUACAUGAUCUCAAUUUGAGGGAGCAUUGCAUGUGAUGUACUCUAUUUGUAUAUAUCCUAUAGCAUUCACACCUGCUGUUAAUUAAUUAAAAAGAGAUCAUGUACGUGUGCGUAUCUUUGGAAAUAGGGAUUUGUCAUUCAACACAAUUACUUGGUCAUUUUAUUUUAUUUUAUUUUGGUGGGUUAGAAAAGAUAAUGAUAUGACGAGUGCAUUUGUCGGGUAUUUCACAAUUUCAUUGCAUUGCAGGCCGACAGUAUCCUCAUUUUAUUAAUUAUUAAAAAGGUCAUACGUCAUAAGGCAUAAAAUUCAUCCAGUUGUAGUUAAAAUUAACAUAAUGGGUAUUCAAAAUUGCUUGUUUAAGCCUCCAAGAACAUAGGUUGUUAACAUUUUGCUCUGGACAUGAUUGAGAAACAGCUACAAAAACCUAUGUACUUGUGAUGCAUAUAUAGACUCCCCUAAAGAUAAAACUUCUGCGCGGGUACAGUUGAUAGUAAAAAUAUAACUGGCAUUAUUAAUGAGUUUAAGUUGUGGUCAGAGUCAAUUGGAACUUAAAAAAAAAAAGAACAAGUGGCACUGGUAGUAACUAUAAAAAUGAGCCCUUGAAUAUGUCAAAAUCUUGAAGGAUGAGUAAUUGACAAUAGCAAGCUGUGGUAAUUAAAUAAAUCAGGGUAUGUGUAUAUAUGCAUUAAGGCCACCAAAAGUGCGGUGAGGUGUGUUGUUUUUCACUUUGUGAAGACUUUAAGCAUUCCACUCAACUGAGCUGGGUUUUAUAUAUUCUUCAUUUUAAUAAUAUACUUGUCAACUAUGUGCAUGUUAGGGUUUGUUUUAGAGGGGGAAAAAUUAAGAAGAAACGUAAUCGUAUUUAAAUAAUAUCAACUUAAAAUUUUAAAAUACAUUAUCUAACAAAUCAUCAAUACAAUAAUUUAAAUUUAAUUUAUCACAUUUACCGUAUUACAUCUGAUUUUCAUCAAUAUUUAUAUCAUAAAAGAUUGGUGUUUUAUUAUAUGUGGAAGAUGAAUAAUCUCCAUUCUUAUUAUUGGUUGUAGAUAUGAAUUUAAAUUUAGAUGUGAAUAUAUAUAUAUAUAUGUCCAUUUCAAGUAGGGUUAUGUUUGUCUGGGAAAUGUCUCUUUCAAUUAAGAAACUAAUAAGCACUAAAAGCCAAAGCAAUUAUAGACAUUUUGAUUUUCAAACUCAAUAAUGGGUAAAUGACUUGUUAGUUUAUGCUAAAUUAAUGGUUAUAUUUGGUUAAUCCACUCACAUAUAAUAAAAGUGGAGGGAUACAUUUGAAAGGGCAUAGUCAAUUCCUUAAUCAAUAGUAGAAUGUCCAAUGCUCUCCAGCAAUGUAACUUCCAUUAUUAUAUACUGAUUUGGGUUUUCCAGGUCAAACACAAUAUACAUGUAUUAUUUUAAUUUAGAAAGAUUUGAGUAGUGAUAAAUUUUUCAGGAAAAGCAAGAAAAAUGGGCUGUAUAGUUGAAGUUGGUAUGAAUAAGAGAAGCUAGGUACGUAUUGGUAGGCCACACAUAAAUGGAAGCCAACCUUGCACAAAAGGUUAAAUGGAAGGCUUCCAUUCACAACAAGUCAAGAGGGAGAGAUCAUAGUGAUUUACAGAAUUAUUUAAGUUGCUUUUUAAAUGUAUACAUGUGUGUGUUUGUGGAUAUCCUUUAAAGUGGUUAAUCCAAUAUAGUCCCUAGUUGGCCAACUUUUUGCUAACUUUGGCCACUAACAAGCAAUACCCCAAAAAGGAUAUAUAUGUGGAUCAUCUUGAUGCUCGUGUAAAAUUCAGACAUUACUUGUCACCUUUCAUGUUCAAAAAAAAAAAAUAAAUAAAAAAAAAUCUUCAGACCAUAUAUAAAAGAAGCCUUUAUUUAUGUUAGCUUUAAAUAAUGAUCAAGCAUAUAUAUACAUGCUCCAGAAAAUCAUUUUCUAAAAGUAUUAAGUUGUGAUCACAUAUAUAGUUAUCUAAUUAAUCACCCAUUCUCGCUCACUGUAUAUUAUGAUAUACAAGUAAAAUAUAAAGUGCAUUUAGUUAUAAAUCAAACUAAUUAAGUUAAGGGUAGUCCAUAAUUCAGUGCCUUUUUUCAAGUAAUUAGAGCCAGCUGAUACAAUUCAUGUUUGUGGGUCAUAAACAAAUUGUAUCAAAGUAUUAAUCCUGUCCUAAAACACACAUCUUUAUAUGAUAUAAUCUGUUUGACCCAUUCAAAUAAAUAGGUCAUAAAUGUCCCAAAUUUAAUAAUAUAUUUAACCUGUUAAUAGUUAGGACUAUAUAAUCAAAUCUCACCAAGCAAUAACUGUAAAGUUUUUUCCCAGAGAAAACAAUAGUAUCUAAAAAAUAAAUAAAUAUAGUAACGACAUAUUUAAAGAAAGAGAUAAUAAUAUGAGAAAUAUUUAAUGAUAGAUUAGCUUUAAAUUUAUAAAAUAUAUUUUUACAAAUUAUUUCAAUAAUAAAAAACUUAUUCAUAUUAAAAGAUAUAAAAUUUACUUAUAAAUUAAGUCAAAAAGUAGGGAGCGUUGGAGCUUUCAAUCUACUGGAGUUAAAUGUGAAAGUCUAAUAUCACUAAAGGUGUAGUUUUACAUAACACUUUUUUUUUUUUAACAAAUUAAAUUACUUAGAAAAGGCACUAAACACAUAAAAAGUUCAUAUUUUUAAUUUCCCUAUUCGUUAUCAUAUCUUAAUAUUCAAGUCUUAAAAUUGGUUUUAUAAGAAUAAACAAUUUUUAAAAUUAAAGAUAUGUACGAAACAUAAGUAAAUAUGUAAUUUGUUUUAUAUGAACAUGUUACCAUGCUCGUCUCUGAAUGGUAUUAUUGGCAUCUAUAUGUAUACUAAUACCCGCUAAAAAAAAAAAAAACAAAGAGCAAAUGCAACAUAAAGUGCUUGCAUUUUGAGAAGUACGUAGUAAUUUUGAAAAAAGAGUGAAUUACUAUUAUUAAUCCUAUAUAUAAUUUAUUAAACUUUAACUAUUUAAUUUUUAUUUUUAAAUCAUUUCAUUAAAAUGUCUAAAUAUUUAGUCAAAUCAAACUUUUAGUUUUUAUAUUAAAAAACGUUAAUAAACUUAUUUUUUAAAGUUAAAAUAACUAUAGAUUGAUAUACAUUGGCUGAUCGCUAUGCUAAUUUUUUUCAAGAAUUACAUUAUGAGGACAUUGAAUGUGAUUCUAGAUAAUAUCGGAAUCAAACCAAAAUUUGGUUUUUUCACUUUUAAGAAACAUACUACUUCAAACCAUACCUAGAUUUUGUUUCAACCUUGCUUUGUAAACAAUUUCCACGCAAUUCCAAUUCUUAUUUUGUUUAUGUUAACAUAAAAAUAAUAAGAUGUGAAAAUCUGUCCUCGAACACCGCUGAGUUUACCAAUGUUCGAAAUGAGCAGACUGAUCUCUCCAAAGUCCGAAAUCAACGAGCAGACUUCUUUUUGGCACACGGAACCGCGUUAAGGUCAUUAUUACGCGUGUAGUGGAACUGACAGAUAUGACGCGAGUGAUGGAUAGGGUAUAGGUCAAGCGAUUCAAUAUUUAUUAGCCGAUUGCCCACCAUUAAUGAGCCGCCUGACACAUCUGUCACGACAUGUUAAAGUCCAAUAUAAGUCAGCCAGAAACAUACCAAUAUGAUCGAGUAUAAAUACCCUUGAAUAAACCACAUCAAAGGACAAAUUCUUCGGCCUCAUCAAUACACUAAGCACACUGAUUCCUCUCCAAAUCUCAAUAUCCACGAACUAAAAUUCAGCCUUAUUAACUCUCAACCAUUCAAUUAGAUCUAUUAACUUCUCCCAUGAAUCAAACAUUUGAUCCACGCAUACACAUCUUGUUGUGUCUACCAAAUCUCACGAGUUUAUAUUUUUGUCCUUAAUUUUAGUUUUUAAAAUAUAAAAUUAUAACAUUCUUAUAUUCAUUUUGAAGUAACAAAUUAUUUUAAAUUUAUAACAUUAAAUUAAUAAUAGAAUUAAUAAAAUUAAUACUAAAGUAAUAAUAUCAAUAUAAAAAUAUGUUAUAUAUGAUUUUCACUAAAAAUAUUAUUAUAUCUUCUACAUAUUUUUACUUAAAAAAUACAUGCAUAUUUAACUUUUAAAAUGUAUAUUUCAUAACUAAAUGUAAUUCAAUCAUAUAAUCAAGCAUAGUAGGUAAUUUAAUAUAUUUACAACUGAAAUUAUUUAAAAGUAGAAAAAUAAAAAAUAAUGUUAAAUUGCAUAUUGAAAGACAAAUUAAGUCUUAUAUCUAUAUAUAGUUUAAUUACAUAUAAGAUAGAUAUUAUUUUAUUAAAAUAUAUCGAACAAGUGACGUCAAAUAUAUGUGAUAGGGUAGUUAAACUGCGAUUAGUUAAUCCGCAAGAGAGAAUAUGUGAGGUGGUUGACGUCUAUAGACAGCCACAGCGAUAAUCAAGUCAAUAAACUGAUAGAAUGUGCAAAUGUAAUGAAUUGUUUUGAGCUCAAAAUAAGUGUGUAAGAAUGUGUACUUUGAUCUCUGUGCACAUUUACUUUUAUACUGUAAUAAGAUGGAGUUAGUUAUCGAAUCUCCUGGAAAUCCAAGUAAUACCGACUAAUAGAUAAGAGAUACUGCAUUUGUAGGUAUACUAGAGAGUUGCUAGAUUACAUCCACUAAUGGUAACUUUCUAUAAACACUUGACCUGUUUAGGAGAGGGCGAGUCAUGGUGAAGAACCAAGCGCUACGGUAUUCAGAUUUUUUUUUUUAUGGGUAGCACCAUGUAUCAACUUAUUAGACCCUUAUUACGUGAUCCUAUCUUGUGGUGACAGCUCAUGGCUUAAUUUGAGCAAGUAUUAUGUCGCAUUAGAGGUCUCCCGCUGAUUUUUUAUUUUUUAGAUUUGAAGUUUACAGUUGUUUCUAUGUUCCGAUAUACGUGGCACGCAUGCAUUGGCUCUCCAUACUCAUAUCCUUUUGCUUGCUCUGCGAAUAAAUGUUAAUUGCCUUACUUCUCAAACCGCAUUCAUGCCAACCGCUGUAUAUAAACCUUUCUUCUUCUCCGAUUUUCACUUUUACUCACAUCUGCUUUCUAAUUCUCUAAAAAUACUUGACCUAUCAGUCUCAAAGCUCCCCCUUUUCUAAAGGUAAAUUUUGUUUCCUUUUUCACUUUUCUGAAAGAAAAAUGAAUAUGUCUCCUUCGUCGUCUUCUUCCAGUAGAAGUUCCACCUCGAGUUCUUCCUCUGGUGGCCCCAUCCAUGCUCCUGCUCCCAUCGCCCCAUUAAGGGCGGUUCAUGAAAAUGAGGGUCUUCUAAUGAAUGACAUCUCGUCCGUGCUGACUGAAAAGGAUGUGGAUCGCCUGUACAACCUCUACCAAAUCCCUAGAGACCUUUUUGGGGUUUAUGCUCCAACUUAAACAUUCAUAUGGACGAACAAACUCCUGCUGAGGAAAAAAUCAUGGUCUAUGAAAAACAACUAAAGGCGGGGCUUCGAUUUUCUAUAAAUCCAUUCUUCACUGAAGUCUUGCGGUUUCACAGGCUUGCAGUCACCCAACUACAUCCGAAUAGUUGGAGAAUCCUGGUGGCCUUCCAGUUUCUCUACUUCAACAAUAAUAUUAAGCCGAGUGUAGCGCUUUUCUCCCAAACGUACCAACUGGGUACUAGAAAGAAUGAAGAAUUUUGGUUCUUCAAUAGGAAGAAGCGCCAGACUCUCUUCGACCAAAUACCCUCUUCCCUGAAGCGCUAAAAGAACAAGUUCUUUUUAUUGUGCCACAGGGUAUCUGGGGGUUUUAGGCGACUCCAAACUAACUGAAACCUAUAUAUAGAGCUAAGCAAGGAUGGGGUCCAGCCACGGCGGGACAAGGAAGGGUCUCUAGACUUCCUCUAGAGGAUGAUCUCAACUCAGAGGGUAGACAUGAACGUGGCGGUGAGGAGCACCAUUUUGUCCUAGUAGAGCAAUUACCAGGCAGAACAGGCUCGAUCUUCUCACCUUUGUCCUCAAAACCCUAGGGAAAGCAUAGAGCAUAAUAUUUUUCUUUCCAACUUUUUUCUGUUUUUAGAGCUGCCUCACUUACUCACGUUUUAUUCUGUGUAGAUAUGGCAAGAAAGAAGAACAAGUUCGCUGAGGCGGCUCACACUACUGUAAAAGCAAAGCUACUGCUGAAACAACCGACCCUAUUACUAAACGGGCUCGCUGGGCAGAGGAGAUCAUUGUGCUUCCUCCUUCUCCUCCACCUAUUACCGAGGAAACAAUCCUACUCAGCCUGAGUCUUUUUUUAGGGGCACUCCUGCAGUAGUUCCUAUUCAAGCUGAUCCUUCACAAGAAGAGGUUGGUGCUAGAGCCGCAUGGCCUUGGAGCAUUCAAUGUAUGGCAUUGGCGCUGACUCGGAUGACCUCCCUUCUUGAGGAGCCCCGUCUGUCGGUUCUUGUCACAAAGAACGCUUUGAGCCCCAAGGACCGCCACCUCUUGAAUGAGAUCAAGAUAGACGACCUCUACAACAACAUCAUCCAUUCCACGAUGAAGAGUGCCCUCUAUGCUUUCAUGGCCAAUGAGCAUAACAAAACCUUGAGAUGAGAGUUCGAGGCAUAAGAGACAAACAAAAAUCUCCUACAAGAGGAGUGCUCAAGGUUGAGUGCUCGGGUUGAAGAGAUAGAGAACACCAUGAAGGAGACGCUAGAGUCCAUCGAUAAACUCCAAGCGAACCUGGACAAGGCUAGUACUUCAAAGUUCGCCCUUGAAAAUUGAGCCAAAAUCGUUAAAAACCAAGUGGUCAUACUUUAGCGCCAAGUCCAGGAGCUUCAGGCUCAAGCACAGGAGAAUCAGGCCACCUCCGACAGGAUUGCUGAGUUGGAAGCCGAACUUCAAGAGACGGUGGCCCGGGGAGGGGCAAUGUUCAUUGAAGGCCAAGACUCGAUAAAAAAAGAGUUGGUAAAGCACUUUCCUAUUGAGAAUUUUGCUUGGAUUGAUGACAACUUUCUAGAGGAGGAGGAAGAUGAGCAAAAGGAGGAGCAGACUAAAGACAACACCACCGACCAGGUCUCUACUGAAAAUACAAUAGACGUAGACAAUAUAAAUGUAAUAGAGGCUCGAAAGGAGGAGACUGAAGAUGUUCCUCCUUCUUUGUAAUUUCCUUUUCAUAAUAAAAAGUUCAUUGUUGUUAUCUAUUUGUUUGUGUUUUUUAUGUUCAAUACUCGACCAAGUAACAAAAUAACCAAAACACUCAUCUUAUUGCUUUUAGAUUAAUCGUCAAUCUAAUGCAUGGGCCUUAAAUACCUUAUAAAAAUCAUUAAUCAGGACUAACACCCGAUCAUUCAGCCUGGCGGUUUCUCACCUUGCAGCAUAGGCUUAAACAACUUGAAAAAAUUAUUAACAGGACUUAACGCCCAGAAAUCAACCUAGUGGUUACUCGUCUCAUGGCCUUAGCUUAAAUAAUUUGGUAAAAUUAUUAAUAAGACUUAAUGCCCAGCAAUCAGCCUUGUGGUUACUCGCCUUGCGGCCUAGGCUUAACAUGCCUUAUAAUUUUGACUAAUCGGGACAACAACCUAGUCAUGAGCUUUAAAUACUUUCAAUAAAUGAAACUAACACCAAGUUAUGAACCUAGUAGAUAUCUACCUUGUGGUCUUAGUAUAAAAUGUCUUGAAUAAUUUUAAUGAUUGGGACUAACACCCAGUCCUUAACCUAACAAAUACCCGCCUUGCGGUCUUAGCAUAAAAUGUAUUGAAUAAUUUUAAUGUUUGUGACUAACACCCAGUUAUCAGCAUGGCAAAUACCCACCUUGUGAUUUUGGCAUAACAUGUCUUAGUUAAUUUUGUUAAUGGGACUAACAUUCGAUCGUCGCCCUGGCAGAUACCCACCUUGUGACUUUGGCAUAAAAUGCUUUAGAUAAUUUUGUUAAUGGGACUAACACUUGGUAAUUAGCCCGGCGGUUACCUGCCUUGUGAUUUUUUCUUGUCUCCACACUUUCAUCUGCCCAGCAUUUCUAAUUUAAAUACCAAAAAAAAAAAAUUGAAGAAUACAUCAUAGUUUUAUUGAUAACAUUUCCAUAAAUUAUAAACUUCUUUUAAGAAUAAUUAAAAGACUUGAUUAUCUAACUUGACCAAUUUAUAAACACCAGGACGAAUGACCUUAGGAACUUUAAGGUCCUUCUCAGUUCUCAUCCAACUCACUAGUCUCAACACCCCCAUUUUUACCAUACUCCAUAUUUAAAAACUCGGACUUUGACUCAAGAGAUGAAUAUUUGUGACAUUCUAUUUCUGUAGAUCCUUGUUGCCACUUGAUCCUUCUGCAAUUACGUGAAUAACCCCUACGAGUUCAUUUUCAUCAAGAUUGACUGGCGCUCUUACCUCAGGUUUUGACCUCUUUUUUUAUCUGUCUGUUAUAGGAAAAUUUCGAAGCAUGUCGUCCAUUAUCAGUCUCUCAAUUUUAUCUUUUAGCUAUUGGCAUUCUUCUAUAGUAUACCCAUUGUCCUCGUAAAAUUGGUAAUACUUUGUUCUGUCUCGCAUGCCUGACUUAUUCGGGUUAAGCUUGGUGGGCCAUUUGACUUCUUUGCCAGUUUUCUUUAUCUAUAUAAGUAUGUGUGUUUGUGAGUCAUUUAGUGGAGUAUAACUCUUAUACUUACCUUGGUCAUCCCUUCCUCGAGACACUGGAUAAUUCUUGUAGUCUCCUUCAUACCCUUGCCUCUUCGGCUUCUGGGUUUGCUUUUGACUCAUCCUUUUAUCUUCCCUUAGCGCCUGGACUUCAUCAGCUAGCCUUAUAUACUUUUGAGCUUUAUCCAUCAGCUGCUAAUAGGUAGCGGUGGGAUUUUUUAUCCAUGAGUCUAUGAAUUUGAUGUUGCGAGUUUUCUUUUUCAUCACCUUGCAUGCUAUUUCAUGAUUUAGUUCUUCUACCUAUAUCACUUCAGUAUUGAAACAUGAAAUACAACUCCUUAAAGAAUUACUCUCUCCUUGACGGAUCUUCCAUAAGUCAGAGGAGAGUUUUUUAGAAGGAAUACAAGUGACAAAUCUAGAUUUAAACAUCAUAGCAAAUUGAGUAAAUUCAGAAUAGAACCUGGGCUCAGAUGUUGAUACCACUUUUGAGUCAAAUCUAUAAGUGUGGAUGGAAACACUCAGCACAGCACAAAGCCAUUAAUGCCUUGAAGCUGCAUUGUUGUUCUAAAGAUUGUCAGGUGACUCUUCGGGUAUGUUGUUCCAUCAUACUUGUCCAAACUUCACAGCUUGAAUUUAAUAGGGAAGGUUUCGGCUAGGAUCUCCUCGAAUAAGGGUGAGGCAUCAUCCAUGCCAUAGUCCUCCUCUUGCUCCUUCUAGUACCUCUACAUGGUAUGGACCAGCUUCCAGUCGACGUUUUCUGAAGCCUCGUUCGACGGCUCCUCAUCCUCCAGCUUGGCCUUUCCUUUGGAUUGUGUUUGGAUCCCUUCCAUCCGAACCCUUAGGGUAUCGGUGGAAGCUUUCUCCCUUAUUCUGGGAGUCAUAAAUGAGACUUCCUCCUGGGCCUUAUAUUGCUUGGGAGUUGUCUAUAGGUGUUUAAUGUACUGGAGUAUCUGCUUAUUAUUUAAGUUAUUAAGCUCUGCUUUAUUGACCAUAGACGGUGUGUUCUGUCCACUGCCAGAGGUAGAAGAGAUGAUGGCCCUUUUUAUGGGCAGUAAAUUUAGCAGCAGUUCGUGAAUGUUCAACCAUUUGGGAGAAAAGAAGAAAAGUGAACAAGAAACCAGAUUUAAUCUAAAUGAACAAAAAAAUUUAAUGGAGAUAUCUCGGUAAUGGAACCAAAUGAUAUGGCUAAAAAUAGAGUUGAACUGGGAUUGGUCAAUCUACAAAAGAAAAGAUGUGAAGUGGUUGGCACCUAUAGACAGCUACUCUGAUGCUCAAAUCAAUAAAUUAAUAGAAUAGGCAAAUAAAAUGAAUUGUUUUAAGCUCAAAAUGAGUAUGUAAGAAUACGUAUCUUGAUCUUUCUGCACAUUUGCUUUUAUACUGUAAGAAGAUGUAAUUGGUUAUCAAAUCUUCUAGAAAUUCAACUGAUACCGACUAAUGGAUAAGGGAUCCCGCAUUUAUAGGUGUAGUGAAAAUUUGCUAGGUUACAUCUGCAAAUGAUAAUUUUUCAUGAACACUAGACUUACUCAGGAGAGAGUAAGGUUUGGUGAAGCGUUAUGACGUUCGAGUUUUCUUUUCUAUGGUUCGAAAUAAUUAUGUUCAAGUCUUGAUGAAAAUCAAAACUGAAUUGAAACAAUAAAUAUAAGUUUCGAACCAUUCUUACAGUUGCAUUUUUGUAAAGUUUUUGGUGUCGUAUGGUAUAAUGUAUGGGUCGAUUAAGAACUCUAAAAAACUAUACAUAUGUAUUAUUUGAAUUUAUUUAUAUAAAUAAUUAAUUAAAUAUAAAAAUAUAUAAGAUUAUGAUAAUAAAAAAUAAAAUUUUCAAUAUUUUUAUAAAAAUAAAAUUUUAGCAAAAAUUAUUAUUAAAAAGUAUUGCUAUAUAAAUUAUUAAUUAAAAUAUAUAAAUUGAACGAGUUUGACAAAUUUAUGAUAAGAUUUAGUUGAGUUUAGGAUGAUUUAUAUAUUGAAACUAUUAAUUGAGCUCAAUUUUAGAUAUGGAGAUUUUUUGCCGACACCCUACUGUUACAUCUCUACUUGUAGGAUCCACUUCCACUGGUCCAAAUCUUUUUUCUUCCUUCUAUUAUAUGAUCAAUCCACGGUAAUUUAUGUAAAUAAUGGAAUAUCAGUUUAUGUGUAAAAAUUUAAUUUAAUUGAUUUAUAUUUUAAUUUAUAAUGAAAGAAUUAGUUAUUUUUUAAUUUAAAAAAUUCUUUUAUAAAACUCAAAACUAUACAUAAUUUUAUAAUUUUUUUAAAAUUAUAGAAAAAGAUCAUUUUUCAAACUAAAAAUAGAUGAAAAAUUAUUUCGUUAAUAUGUAGAAAAUAUAAAAAUAAUUUAAUAAAUUUUAAAAAAUAGAGAAAUUAUUCUAUUAAUAAUAGUAUUACUCAAAAAUUAAAUAAUAAAUCUUAAAUAAUUGAAAAGUUUGGGUCCAGGUAAUGACCAGAUUUUCUGACAUUUUCAAAUUAGCCAAUAUCCCGCCAAAGUCUACCUUCUUUUUCAAGCGCAAUUAUUGGGUUUCAGUAAUUUACCCAACAGAUCUUUAUCAAUUUUUUUUUAUUUUUUCGUUCUCAGCCUGUAUCUUAAGCAAACAAUCAUCCAGAUUUCAUAGUCAUUUUAAACAAAGAAGAAUUGGUAUAGGAACACCACCUAGCAGCUCUUAGGAUCUGUUCAAAAGGAAAGAAUUUUUGUAUAACAAAUUGAAAUUUUUAUUGAUUGAAAUUAUACAUAGAAUAUUUGACUGUAUAUACACAAAAGAGGAAAUAAAUCCUCUUCUUUGAUUGGCUAUAAAUUCUCUGCUAUCUUUGGUUAUAUACAUUACCUCUGUGCAACAUUCCUUUUUCUCGUUGUAACAGAAUUUUGUGAUGAAUAGAACAAUCAAGAAUAUCCUCUACUUUUAGAAUAUAUUUAUAGUUGGGCUGAACUAUUUGUUUGGACUUAAUCAUAUACUCAUCAUUCUUUUUAUCUUGCCCCAAACUAUUCUUUUGAUCUAAGCCCAUAUAUUUCUUAUCAUCUCUCACAUCCCCUCUCAAACUCAACUCGUGUGAAGACCAUGGAUUGAGUUUUGUACAAAGAGAUGAAUGUCUUAACAUAGUCAUUGGUUUUGUAAACAAAUUUGCUAGCUGAUCAUCAGUGUAAUACCCGGCUAGACUCCGGUAUCGGAAUUUCUACCGUCCGGUGGAAUCUCGGAUGUCGGAAGCCUCUAGUAGGGUAGAAUCAUGUUUUCAUAAAAUAUUUUAAGGUAUUUCAUGGUUUUAAGUAUGAAGAUUUAACGAGUUUUUGCAUGAAAAGUCUUUGGAGGAAAACCCAGGUUCGGCCGCCGAAAGUCAAGUUCGGCCGCCGAACAUACAUGCGUUUUGGAGGCACGUUAGGCCCCCGAAAGCAUGAGUGAGGGAAGUCCAGGUUCGGCCGCCGAAAGUCAAGUUCGGCCGCCGAACAUGGCAUGCGUGCGGAAGCACUUUCGGCCCCCGAACGUGGCCUGGCCAACCACCUAUAAAAGGGUCACUUUGCCGAAAUGGGCGAGCUUUCUCCCAUUUUCGGCCAUAGCUAGCUUCCGACCUCCCUCUCCCCAGAUCUUGUGUUCUUUUUCCAAAUCUCCUCCAUUUUUCUUGAGUUUUCACCUCUCAUUGCAAGUUUUGAGCAUUUAAGACAAGUUUUGGAGCUUUGGGAACCCAGGAGCUCAUUUGCUUGGAUCUCCGAGUUUAGGUCGUCUCUCUCUCGAUCUUCAAGAGGUAAGAGCCGAUCUUAAGCUCAUUAUAUGUUUUAAAUAAGUUUUAUGCAAGAUCUAUGGGGUAGAAAUGCAUGUGUAGGUUUUUAGUGAGUUAUGGAUGAUUUUUGAGUUUAUGCAAAUGUGGCUUGCAAAUGCUUGUGUUUGUGUGUUGUAGUUGGGGUUUAAGGUAGUUUGAGACCCCUAGGAGCUUGUAUGCAUGUUUUGGUUGAGUUAUGUGCAUGUUGGAAGAGUUAGGAGGCAAAUGUGCAUAAAGGAGCCAAGUUUCUGCCCUUUGGCAGAAACCAGGUUCGGCAGCCGAAGGAACUUUCGGCCGCCGAACAUGGCUGAGGAGGCAGGCUAUUCGGCUGCCGAAGUUGCCCCCGAAAAGAGACUUUCGUCUCUGUCUGGGACUUUCGGCCGCCGAAGGUGCCGCCGAACCUGCCUGACUUUCGGCUCUGGAGGGACUUUCGGCCGCCGAAGGUGCCGCCGAAAGUGCCCUGUCCAGCCAUUUCUUGCAUGUUUUUAUGUAGUUGUUUUAUGAUGUUUUAGGGGGUUUUUGGGGAGUAUAUGAGAGUUAUGUUCAUGUAUGUUUGGUCCCUCAUUGGAGUCCACCUGUGUAGGUUCGGACCCGAGGAACCGAGGACCCCAGCAGUGAGCCAGCUGCUACAGAGUUUGUCAGAGCUAGCCAGAGGUGAGUGGAAGAAACCUUAAGUUUUAAAAUAAAUGAAAUAUGAAUUUUGAGCAUGAUCCAUGCAUCAUGAAUGCCAUGAGAUAUAGUAGGUUGUUUGCAUUAGUAUUCACGAAUAUGUUGCAUUGCAUUUAUGAUGUUGAUGUGGAUUGGUUAUUGGAUGAUCCUUUAGUCCUCAUAUGGCAUGAUGAUGUUACGGCAUGAUAUGGUAUGGAAGUCCAGGUUGUACCCAUUCUACGUCCCUGGCACGAUGUAAGAGAAAGUCCAGGUUGUACCCAUUCUACGUCCCUGGCACAUUAGUAUGUUAUGAUAUGUUAUGAUAAGAGAAAGACCGGUUGUACCCAUUCUACGUCCCGGCACAGUUGGACUAUGUAGAGGACUAUUGGUGACAAUACCAUCCGAGAUGUGAUUUGUUGUGAUGUGUUGCAUUACAUAAUGGCAUGAGAUUUUUAAAUAUAUGAUUUCACUAUUCUGCUCACUGGGCUUUGUAGCUCACCCCUCUCCCAUAACCCUAGAUGUGCAGGUACAGGGUAGACCAGGAGGUUAGCCAGAGUUUUGAAGUAUGUGUAUGUAAUAGUUAGAUGGUGGACAUGACAGUUGUACUAUAAUGUAAUGUAAGAGAUUACAGUAUGUUAUGUAAUGAGGUAUAUUGAGGUUAUAGAUGUGCUUGACCCUAUGAGUAUUGUAAUCCCUUGUUGAUGCAUGAUCUUAGAUUUUGAUGAUACUGAUGUUAGCCAACUCAUCUCAUGUUGUAUCGCCCGUUGGGGCAUUGAUGAGAUCCCACAGAGGGAUCACGAUUAUGAUCAUGACUAUGUACACGUAUGUUCAGGUUGAGUUGGAUGUUUUUUAAGGAAAGUUUUAAUUUUUAUGUAUGUUCUUGAUCAUGUAUGGGAUUAAACAGGUUUCCAGGAUGUAUGUUUGGCUUGCUACGGGUCCCGGCGGCCUUAAGUCGACCCGGAUCCUAGCGCCGAUAGCGGUCCGAUUUUCGGGUCGUUACAAUCAGGUGCUGCAUAUUUGACUUCAAUGGCUCCAUCUGCAAUUUUAUCCCUCAAGAAGUGAACAUCGAUUUCGAUAUGCUUUGUUCGUGAAUGGAAAAUAGGAUUCUGUGCAAGAGCUCUAGCACCAUUAUUAUCACACCAUAAGGUAGGUCUAUGUGAAGGAGAGAAACCAAGUUCCUGAAGAAAGGAGGUCAACCAAAUGAGUUCUGUUAAUAAUUGUGAUAACACACAAUAUUCCGCUUCUAUACUAGAUUUAGCUACAACAUUGCUUCUUAGAGCUCCAAUAGCUUAGAUUCCCUAGGAAGACGUAACCUCCAAAAGUCGACUUUUGAUCAUCAAUAGAGCUUGCCCAAUCACAGUCGGUAUAAGCAUUGAUAUGUAAAGGAAGAUUUGAAAGUCUAAACAACAACCCACAGUCAGUUGUUCCACGUAGGUAACAUAGAACUCUCUUUAAAGCAAUCCAAUGGGGCUGAAGAGGAUGAGCUUGAAACUAGCUUAAUUUAUUAACUAUGUAACAAAUGUUAGGAUGGGUGUGACACAGGUACUGUAGACCUCUAAGAAGACUUCAAUACAAAGAUGGAUUAUCAAAUGGAGCUCCAUCAUAAAGAGAUAGUUUUAUACCUAAGGAGAUUGGAGUAAAGCAUGGUUUUUCUAUAGCCAUAUUCGCUUUCACAAGCAAGUCUUCCACAUAUUUCUUUUCUGAAAGAAAGAGACCUAUUUAUGAUCUUUUAACCUCAAAACCUAGGAAGUUGGGAAUAUAUUCCAAUGUCUUCAAGGAAAAUUGGCUGUGUAGUCUCUGAAUAACAGUUUGAAUCAUGUUAAAGUUGUUACCAGUAACUAAAAUGUCAUCAAUAUACACAAGCAACAGAGUUAGGAGUCCAUGUUGUUUGAAGUAAAAGAGUGAAGUAUCACUUUUAGAAUUCUGGAAACCUCAUCUAUUGAGAGUGAGCUUGAGAGUAUGAAACCAAGCUCGUGGAGCUUGUUUUAAUCCAUAUAACGCCUUUGAGAGUUUGCACACAUAGGAUGGAUAUUGCUGAUGCACAAAACCUUGAGGUUGAUUUAUAUAAAUUUCUUCCUAUAAAGCACCAUUUAAAAAUGCGUUGUUCACAUCAAUUUGCUUAAUAUCCCAUCCAAAAGAAACAAGUGAUAGAAUGACCUUUAUAGAUGAUGCUUUAACAGCUGAAGAAUAGGUUUCUUUGAAAUCAAUCCCUAGGUUCUGAUUGAACCCCUUGGCAACAAGUCUGGCUUUGUAUUUUGGUAUGGAGCUAUCUGGAUUGUAUUUAUAUGAAAUACGCACUUUGUUCCCAACACAUUAAAAUGGGGCUGACUUGGUACUAACUUCCAUAUUUGAUUUUGAUGCAAUGCUAGCUUUUCUUCUUCCAUAGCCAUUUGCCGUGUAGGAUAUAAUAAAGCUUCUUUUACUGUGGUUGGUUCUUUGUGGGGUGAUGUUACAUCUGUUGAGUAUAGUUUAGGUUUUGAAAUAUCAUCUUUUAAUAUGGUAAUCAUAGGAAGAGUGCUUAUUGUUGUAUAAGUAUGUAGUGAAGGAUGAGAGUGUGGAGGAGAAAUAGAGACAGAUGAAUUUAGAGGAGAAGCUGAGGCAGAUGAAUUUACCUGAUGAUGAAUGUGUUCUGAGUCAUUUUCAAGAGACUGUUGUUGAGGUAGAGAAGCAGAGGGAGAAACCUGUACAAAUCUUAAGAUAGAAAGAGGAAGUGUAGAAGAAGAUGAAUGAGUUGAUUUUGAUAUUUGUUUAGAUGAAAAUAUAAUAGAAAAUAGAUAUUCUGCUUCAUUAAAAAUGACAUGAUGAGAGAUAUAGAUUUGUCCAUUGCUGUUAAGAUAUUUAUAACUUUUAUGCAUAUCACUAUAGCCAAUAAUUACACAUUUGGUGGAAUGAUAGUUUAGCUUGUGAGGAGAAUAAUAUCUUAAGUAUGGGUAACAACUGCAACCAAAAGCUUUUAAAUAUGAGUAGUCAGACUUCUUUUGAUAUGAUUUUUCAAAUAGUGAGACUUGUUGUAGAACUGGACUAGGUAAAGAAUUGAUAAGAAUGGUUGUAGUUGAGAAGGCUUCUAGCCAAAAAGUUAGAGGCAUCUUGAUGUGGGCUAGGAGGGCAAGGCCCAUUUCUGUCACAUGUCUAUGCUUAUAUUUAGAAACACCAUUUUGUUGGCGUGUGCAAGGACAUGUAAACCGUGGUAUAAUACCUUGUUGAGCAAGAAAUGGAAGAAAAGCAUUAUAUUCUCCAUCAUUAUCUAUUUGAAGGGCUUUAAUUGGCAAGUUAAAUUGUCUUUCAACUUUAGUUUUAAAGGUUAUAAAUGUUGAAAGAGUAUCAAAUUUUAGUUUUAAAGGAUAAAGCUAUAAAAAGUGAGAAAAUCCAUCUAUAAAGAUAGUGUAGUAUCUAUGCCCUGCAGAUGAUAAAUACAGUGAGGGGCCCCAAAUAUCUGAAUAUAUAAUCUCUAGAGGUUUAGUGAUAGAUAUAGAAUGAGAUGCAAAUGGUAGUUGAUGAUGUUUACCAAGUUUGCAUGAUUCACAAAACGUGAUUUAAUAAAAAAUGAAAUUUAAAACCUAAUGACUUAGAGGGAAAUGAUAACACUGCAUUAGAAGGGUGUCCGAGCCUGGCAUGCCAUUCAUUAGGAGUGACCAAAGCAGUGAAAAGAGUGUGAGACGUAGAACUAGGAGAAGUUGAUUUAUGUAGAAAAGGGCUAUCAGAUGUUGAGUUAAGACUGUAAAGGCCAUCCCUCAUGAUUCCAUAGACCAGCACUUUCCCUGUAGCUUUGUCCUUGAAAACACAAGAAUUAUUAUAAAUUUCAACAGUUAUGUUAUUGUCUUUGGUUAACUGGAAAAUACUCAGCAAAUUUUUAGUAAUAGAGGAAACAUGUAAAAUAUGAUUGAGUUUAAGAGAGUAAUUAUGAGGAUGUAAAUGAAGCUUAGUAGAUCCAACAUGAGCAAUAGGUAGAAGAGUACCAUUACCAAUAGCCAAUUAGUCUUUGCCAUCAAAAUCUGUACGAAUAGUGAGAUAGUGAGAAUCUGAAGUAAUGUGGUUUAUAUCACCACUAUCAAUAUUCCAAGAGCUGUUUGAGGAGAUUUAUGGAGUAUGAGACUGAGGAUAAGCAAUAUAGGUUUGUGGUGGAGUAGAAGGUCUAGUAGGUGAAAAGGUAGUAGGGUAGUAGUUGUAAGAUGUAUUGUUGGGAGUAGGAUGUCUCCAGAUAAACUAAUUUCCUUGCCAGUUAUAGUCAUAAUAUUUGAAACAUUAUAGAGCAUAGUGGUUUAGCUUUUGACAGAUCAAGCAGAAUAAGCGAACUUUGCCUCCUCUACUAAGGCCUCCAUGACCACUUCUAAAGCUAGAUCGACCACCAUUGGGAGUAGGAGGACGAGUUUGACAAGAAUAUUGAGUAUAUUGAACAAGAGUGAUUGUGGGAGUAGGGAGUAUACCAGAGGUUUGAGCAGACACAUUUAGUUGAUCAAGACGGGUUUCAUGCACCAUUAAUGUAUAUUGUAUAUCUUGAAGGGUUGAAAGUGAUGCAGUAUGUGUUAAGAGAACCACAACAAAAUCAUAUUUGUAAUACCCGGCUAAGCUCCGGCAUCUGAAUUCCAACCUUCCGGCGGAAUCUCCGUUGGAAUCCGGAAUUCCGAGGUCGGAAUCCCUUAGAAGGGUGAAAAUAAAGAUUUUCAUAAAAUGUUUUAAUGUUCUUAUGAUUUUAAUCAAAGAAAGAAAAUUGAGUUUUGAAAGAAAACGCCAUGAAGGAAAAGUCUAGGUUCAGCCGUCGAACAUGGUUGAGUUGCGGAAGCUCUUUUGGCCCCCGAAGGUGGUCUGGCCAGCCACCUAUAAAAGGUCCAUUGUCCGAAAAUGGGCGAGUUUUCUCUCUCCAUUUUCGGGCAUAGGUGAGAUUUAGCCCUUCUAUAGUUGAUUUUAUAUUUUCCUUCAAGUUUUUGAUAAGAUUUUUCCUUGUUUUGAAGAUUUUUGAGCUAAGAUUAAGGUUUUAGAAGUUUGGAGACCUCCAGAGACCUAUUCUCCUAAUCUCCAAGUUUGGAUCGCAUCUCCUCUCGAGCUUUAAGAGGUAAGUGUAGAUCUAUACCUUUUUAUAUGUUUUAAGUAAGUUUUAAGAGGUUUUAAGGGUGUUUAAUGCAUGUUUAGAGUAGAUCUAAAUGUUAGGGUUUAUAUUAGUUUAUUGAUAAAUGUGAUGCUAUGUUGAUGUUUGUUGGGGUUUAGGCUAGUUUUAUGCCCCUAUGUGCUUGAAAAUGUGUUUAUGCAUGUUUUAGAAUAGUUGGAUGCAUGUUGUGGGAGUUUUGGUGGCUUGGGGCAUAAUGGCAGAAUCGGAUUCUGCCCUUCGGGAGAACCCAGGUUCGGCCGCCGAAGCCAGUUUAGGCCGCCGAACCUGCCCGGGGGAGGCAGUUUUGGCCGCCUAAACUCGCCCUCGAAAGUUGGACUUUUGACUCUGGAGGGGAGUUUCGGCCGCCGAACCUGCCCUCAAAAGUUAGUGACUUUUGGGUCUAUGAAGGCUUUCGGCCGCCGAACCUUGCCCCCGAAAGUGCCUGACUUUCGGAUCUGUAGGGACCUUCGGCCGCCUAACCUGCCGCCGAAAGUCCCCUACCUAGCCUUCCUUUGCUUGUUUUCUAUGCAUGUUUUGUGGUGUUUUAGGGGUUUUUUUUAGAGAUGUUUAGAGUAUGUUUGGUCCCUCAUUUGAGUCCACCUGUGUAGGAUUGGACCUAAGGAACCGAGGAGGCCAGCAGUGAGAUUGUUGUUCUAGUGUCAGCCAGAGGUGAGUAGAACUAAACUAUUCUAUUUUAUUCAAAGUAAUCAACUUUUAAGCAUGUUCAUGCAUCAUGAAUACCAUGUUAUGUAAUAGGAUGUUUGCAUUAGAAAUUCACGAAUAUGAUGCAUUGCAUUAUUUACUGUUGAUGUAGAUGGAUAUUGGAUGACCCACUAGCCCUCGAUAUGAUAUGAUAUGAUAUGAUACGGAAAGACCAGGGUUGCCCAUUCUACGCUCCUGGCACGAUGUAAGGGAAAGACUAGGGUUGUCCAUUCUACGCCCCUGGCACAGUUGGACAUGUUAUGUUAUGUUUAAGAGGAAGUCCUGAGGAGCUCCGUUGAAGGCCGGACAUUAGUGAGACAUGUAGAGGGUUACUGAUGACAAAUCCAUCCUUGAUGUAUAUUGUUUGUGCUGUGAUGCAUUUCAUGAAAGCAUAUGUUUAAUUAAAUUAUUUUUACUGUUCUGCUCACUGGGCUUUAGUAGCUCACCCCUUUCCCCUAACCCCCAGGUUUGCAGGAGCACAGGUAGCUGUGGGAGAAUCAUCAGAAUUUUGGUAUAGCAUGAUGUAAUAGAUUAGUGGUGAACAUGUAAUGUAUUGUGGAUUAGUAUUGUGCUUGGCCCUAAUGUCAGUUGUAAUCCCUUUUGUACAUGAUCUUUAUGUAAAUAUUUUUAAUGAUGAGAUAUGAUGAACCUAGCUUGACGUAUGAGAUGUUGACCCUACUAGAGCAUUUGAUGAGGGCUCUAGUACGGGGUUUUUAUGUUUACAGUUAUGAGGCAUGCACAGUCAAGCUUGGUAUAUGAAAAGUUUAAGUUUUUAUGUAAAUGUGUGAUCAUGUAUGGGAUUCUAUCAGGUAUGACAGGUUGUAUGUUAGGCUUGCUACGGGUUCCGGCGACCUUAAGUCGACCUGAAUCCUAGCGCCGAUAACGGUCCGGUUUCUGGGUCGUUACAGAGUGGUAUCAGAGCCCUAGGUUCAUAUGGUCAGACCUAGAGAGUGUCGGGCUCAUAGAUGUUAUAGAAGGGCAAGCACAAUAGGAAAAAUCAUGUCCAUUAGGAUAGGAUGUAGAGUCCUGUCUUGAUAAUGAUGUGAAAUGCCAUGAUUAUAUGCAUGUGCAUUGAUGAUAUGCUAUGUGUGAUGUGGAUUCAUGUGUUUCCGCAUGAACCAUAUUAUGCUAAUGCUAUGUGUUGAAUGUUGUUUUUUCAGAAAACAGAAUGCGAGGCACUCGUCGAUCUGCACGAUUGACUGGAGUCCCACUAGAGAAUGAGGGCAUGGAUGCCCUUCCCCCUGCUCUGCCAAGAGCAAGGUCAAGUAGAUCAAGCAGAGAAGGAAUGUCAAGGGACCCUAGAAGGUCUUUUGAUGUGAAUAGGAGGAGAACGGGUCCAGGUAGGAUGUCAGCAGAUGUGAGGGAAUCUGUGGAUGAUGACCAGAGAAGAGAUGGUAGUUUGGGCAUGAGUAUGUCAGAAGAGGGUACGGGAGAGUCACAAGGAGGCGCUCAGGCCUCGGGGUUUGCUCACACACCCCAGUACCAAUUCUAUCCACAUGGACCAGGGUAUCCGAUGGGAGGUACAUCAGAUUUCUCAAGUUAUAACCCAUACCCUUCCUUCAUGCUUUAUCCUCCCUUUUACCCACCAUAUCUACCGUACCCUAUGUUUCCACCCUCACCCUUCUAUCCAAAUACAGCAAACCCUAACCCAGGGAAUGCUGCACCUCCUCCUCCACCAGCAGAACCAUUAGUCCCUGAAAUCCAAAUACCCAAACCUAGCUCAUCUGUGGAGAGCAAAGUAAAGAUGACAGAUUAUCUAAAGCUGGAUGCUCCUAAGUUCAAAAUAGGAGAUGAUCUGUUUGAGUACCUCAAAACGGUGAAGAUGAUAACAGACGAGCUAGGAGCCAGUGACAGUAGAGCCAUUCAGAUAGCGGGGUUCACAUUGAAAUGUAAGAAAGCAAGAGAGUGGUUUAAAAAUUAUGUGAACCCAAGGCUGGAUAGCCUAUCCUAGGAAGAGUUUGCCAAUGAGUUUGCUGGAUGGGCUUUUCCAGAUAGUUCAAGAGAGCUGAAGGUGAUCGAGUUUGAACAGCUGAGGCAGAUAGAGGACAUGAGUGUUGAUGAGUAUACGGACAGAUUCCUGGAGUUGCUUCAGUUUGUGGGAGAGGCAUAUGAUACGGAUCAGAAGAAAGCCAGGAGGUAUGCUAUGAGACUCCACUCUAGGUAUUCCUCCCUGAUUCUAGCAGCAAAGAGGGAGAGUUUCCACACUAUUGUGAAUGCAGUAAGGAAGAUGGAGGCUAGUGCCAUCAUUUAAGGAACAAUGAAGCAGCAGGUGGCACAACCCUCGGAUUCUAAAACCCCAAGUUCAAGAAAGUUUGAUAUCUCUUCUCUGAAUGCGGCAGUCUCAAGUAGCAAAAAGUGGAAUAGAGCCAAGCCCAAGAAGAACAAGUUCUGGAACCGAUUGAAGUCAGGUCUGGGAUUAGGUGGUGGCUCGAGCUCUGGUUCAGACAGUUCAUGAUGCAUGAGGAGUGGGAAGCCGCACAAGGGGGUCUGUCGAUUUGGGACAACAGCAUGUUUCAGAUGCGGACAGGAGGGGCACAUGGCACGUGAGUGUCCCACUAUGACCUUUUUGGCACAGUCCCAGCAGAUAGCUUCAGGCAGUGUGGCCCAACCAGUAGCUCCAGCCAUGACUCAGGGCAGUGGUCGAGGCAGAGGCAACCUCUUCUUCCGCAGGUUCCCGCGGGGAAGGUCCAUCAGCUCCAGCUCGGAUCUUCACUAUGACUCAGCAGGAGGCUAACAGAUCAAACACCAUGGUGUCAGGUAAUCUUAUCAUUGGAUGUUCUGAUGUGUAUGCUUUAAUGGACCCUGGUGCUUCUCAUUCUUUUGUUACUCCAAGAGCCGUAGAUAGAGUGGGUUUGAUAGCUUCUGGGUUAGAGUGUCCCCUUUGGGUCAAUGGAUCCAAGUGUGAUCCAUCUGUGGCAGAAUCAGUCUGCCGGUUCAGUCUAGUUUUUAUUGAGGGAAGAUGCCUUCCAGCCGACCUUGUGGUUCUAGACUUGACAGAUUUUGAUGUCAUUCUAGGGAUGGAUUGGCUAUCUGCUCAUGGUGCUACCUUGAACUGCAGAGACAAGGUAGUUAGGUUCAGAGGACAGGAUGGAUCAGAGGUUGUCUUCAGAGGAGACAGAAGGGGUACGCCUAGAGGUUUGAUAUCAGCCCUGCAGGCUCGUAGGUUGCUCAGGAGGGGUUGUCAGGGGUUUCUAGCUCAUGUCAGAGAGCUUGAUAGUCAGGUCAGGGAGUCCGCCUCAGUGCUCAUAGUCAGAGAGUUCCUAGAUGUUUUUCCAGACGAGUUGUCAGGUUUACCACCUGCUAGGGAGAUAGAGUUUGAAAUAGAAGUGAUGCCUGGAACCAGACCGAUCUCUAUUCCCCCUACAGGAUGGCACCUGCAGAGCUAAAAGAGUUGAAAGAACAGUUGCAAGAGUUGGUAGAUAAGGGUUUCACCCGACCGAGUACCUCACCUUGGGGGUGCUCCGGUGCUAUUUGUAAAGAAGAAUGAUGGAUCCUCAAGACUUUGUAUCGACUACAGGCAGUUGAACAAAGUCACUACCAAGAACAAGUAUCCUCUACCCAGGAUUGAUGAUCUAUUUGAUCAGCUAGCAAGAGCGGGUUAUUUUUUCAAGAUAGAUCUGAGAUCUGGGUAUCACUAGCUAAGAAUCAGAGAGGAAGAUGUGCCGAAGACGGCAUUCAAGACCAAAUAUGGGCACUAUGAGUUUCUAGUAAUGCCGUUCGGGCUAACCAAUGCCCUUACAGCAUUUAUGGACCUCAUGAACAGAGUUUUUAGCCAGUACCUGGACCACUUUGUUAUUGUUUUCAUUGACGAUAUCUUAGUGUAUUCUACAGAUGCAAAGGAGCAUGCCCAUCAUCUGAGGAUAGUGUUACAGACCCUGAGGGAGCACGGCUUGUAUGCCAAGUUCUCCAAGUGUGAAUUCUGGUUGAGGAGCAUCUCAUUCUUGGGGCAUGUUGUGUCAGAAAAGAGAAUUGAAGUGGACCCCAAGAAAGUAGAAGUUGUAGCUAACUGGCCCAGACCCACUACAGUAAUAGAGAUCAAAAGCUUUUUGGGUUUGGCAGGUUACUGCAGGAGGUUCGUCCAGGACUUCUCCAAAAUUGCCGCUCUUAUGACCAGAUUGACCAAGAAAAAUCAGAGAUUUGUGUGGUCUGAUCAGUGUGAAGAAAGUUUUGAAGAGCUGAAGAAAAGGUUAACGUCAGCACCGGUAUUAGCUCUGCCUACUAGUGAUGAAGAUUUCACGGUAUUUUGUGAUGCAUCCCGUGUGGGACUAGAUUGUGUGUUGAUGCAAAAUGAAAGGGUGAUUGCUUAUGCUUCUAGACAGUUAAAGAAGCAUGAGCUGAAUUAUCCUACACACGACCUAGAGAUGGCAGCUGUAAUCUUUGCGCUCAAGAUGUAGAAGCAUUACCUGUAUGGGGUAAGAUGUGAGAUCUUCACAGAUCAUAAAAGCUUGCAGUACAUCUUGAGUUAGACAAAGUUGAACCUAAUGCAGAAAAGAUGGGUAGAACUGCUCAGUGACUAUGAUUGCAAGAUUCAGUACCAUCCGGGUAAGGCAAAUGUUGUGGCAGAUGCCCUAAGCUGGAAAUCACUUGGCAGUUUAUCCCAUGUUACAGCAAAGAGAAGACCGAUGAUGAGGGAAUUCUACAAGCUCAUUAAUGAAGGGCUGCAGUUAGAGUUGUCUGGUACAGAUGCACUAGUGGCUCAGAUGAGAGUGACACCCGUGUUUCUGGAGCAGGUGGCACAGAAACAACAUGAGGACCCAGAGUUGGUGAAGAUAGCCAGAGCUGUCCAGGCAGGCAAGAAUGAUGAGUUCAGAUUUGACAACAAAGGGAUCCUCCGCUAUGGGAACAGGUUAUGUGUACUAGAUGAUGUAAGUCUGAAGGGAGACAUUAUGAGGGAAGCUCAUAAUGCUAGGUACAGUGUUCACCCUGGAGCCACCAAAAUGUACCAGGAUCUGAAAAGAGUCUAUUGGUAGCCAGCUAUGAAAAGAGAAGUGGCACAGUUCGUGUCUGCCUGUGAGGUAUGUCAGAGGGUGAAGCUGGAACACCAGAAGCCAGCUGGUAUGCUCAACCCACUACCGAUUCCAGAGUGGAAAUGGGAGAAUGUUGCAAUGGAUUUCGUGGUGGGGUUACUGGCAACGUCCAACAGACUAGAUUCCAUAUGGGUGAUUGUUGACAGACUAACCAAAUCUGCUCACUUCAUCCCUAUCAGGAGUGACUAUUCUGUGGACAAAUUGGCACAAGUGUAUGUAGAAGAGUUGUGAGGUUGUAUGGGGCUCUGGUAUCAAUAGUGUCCGAUAGGGAACCCCAAUUCACCUCCAGGUUUUGGCGGAGUCUACACAAUGCUAUGGGCACAAGGCUAGACUUUAGCACUACUUUCCAUCCUCAGACUGACGGACAGUCAGAGAGGACCAUCCGGACUAUAGAAGAUAUGCUCAGAAUGUGUGUGCUAGAUUUUGGCGGUUCUUGGAGGCAGCAUCUACCCUUGGUGGAGUUUGCCUACAAUAAUAGCUAUCAUGCUAGCACCGGGAUGGCUCCUUAUGAAGCUCUUUAUGGGAGGAAGUGCAGGUCACCUGUCUGCUGGGAAGAAGUUGGAGAAAGGGCCUUGGCAGGGCCUGAGUUAGUAGAGAUCACCAGUAGGGUAGUGCCCAUUAUCAGAGAAAGAAUCAGAACUGCUAUGAGUCGGCAGAAGAGUUAUGCAGAUGUCCGCAGGAAGCAUAUAGAGUUUCAGGAGGGAGAUAUGGUGUUGCUCAAGGUGUCUCCUAUGAAAGAGGUGAUUCGUUUUGGGAAGAAAGGUAAGCUAGCUUCACGGUACAUCGGACCCUUUGAGAUCCUGCAAAAGGUUGGGAAUGCAUCGUACAAGUUGGACUUACCUGCUUCCAUGGAGAGAAUCCAUCCGGUUUUCCAUGUUUUCAUGUUACGGAAGUUCGUGUCAAAUCCGGGCAAGGUUCUUAAUGAGCCUGAUGUGGAGAUCCUAGGAGAUCUCACCUAUGUUGAAUAGCCAGUGCGGAUCAUAGACACACAAGUCAGAAAGCUGAGGAACAAGGAAAUCCCGAUGGUGAAGGUCCUUUGGAAUCACCACAGCAUGGAAGAGUGCACCUGGGAGAUACGGGAGUCCAUGCUCCAGCAAUACCCUUAUCUCUUCUAAGGUUAGUGUUUUAUGUUUUUAUGUGUGCUUCCUUGUUGCUUUUGUUUGUUUGUUAAACAUUCGGGGACGAAUGUUCUUAAGGGGGGAAGAAUGUAAUACCCGGCUAAGCUUCGGUAUCUGAAUUCCAACCUUCCGGCGGAAUCUCCAUUGGAAUCCGGAAUUCCGAGGUCGAAAUCCCUUAGAAGGGUAAAAAUAAAGGUUUUCAUAAAAUGUUUUAAUGUUUUUAUGGUUUUAAUCAAAGAAAGAAAAUUGAGUUUUGAAAGAAAACACCAUGGAGGAAAAGUCCAAGUUCGGCCGCCGAACAUGGUUGAGUUGUGGAAGCUCUUUUAGCCCCCGAAGGUGGGCUGGCCAGCCACCUAUAAAAGGCCCCUUGUAUGAAAAUGGGCGAGUUUUCUCUCUCCAUUUUUGGGCAUAGGUGAGAUUUUGCCCUUCUAUGGUUGAUUUUAUAUUUUCCUUCAAGUUUUUUAUAAGAUUUUUCCUUGCUUUGAAGAUUUUUGAGCCAAGAUCAAUGUUUUAGAAGUUUGGAGACCUCCGGAGACCUAUUCUCCUAAUCUCCAAGUUUGGAUCGCAUCUCUUCUCAAUCUUCAAGAGGUAAGUGUAGAUCCAUACCUUUUUAUAUAUUUUAAGUAAGUUUUAAGAGGUUUUAAGGGUGUUUAAUGCAUGUUUAGAGUGUUUAAUGCAUGUUUAGAGUAGAUCUAAAUGUUAGGGUUUAUGUUAGUUUAUUGAUAAAUGUGAUGCUAUGUUGAUGUUUGUUGGGGUUUAGGCUAGUUUUAUUCCCCUAUGCGCUUGAAAAUGUGUUUAUGCAUGUUUUAGAAUAGUUGGAUGCAUGUUGUGGGAGUUUUGGUGGCUUGGGGCAUAAUGGCAGAAUCGUGUUCUGCCCUUCAGGAGAACCCAGGUUCGGCCGCUGAAGCCAGUUUCGACCGCCGAACCUGCCCGGGGGAGGCAGUUUUGGCCGCCUAAACUCGCCCCCGAAAGUUAGACUUUCGGCUCUGGAGGGGAGUUUCGGCCGCCGAACCUUGCCCCCGAAAGUGCCUGACCUUCAGAUCUGUAGGGACCUUUGGCCGCCGAACCUGCCGCCGAAAGUCCCCUGCCCAGCCUUCCUUUGCUUGUUUUCUAUGCAUGUUUUGUGGUGUUUUAGAGGGUUUUUUUUUGGGAGAUGUUUAGAGUAUGUUUGGUCCCUCAUUUGAGUCCACCUGUGUAGGAUCGAACCUGAGGAACCGAGGAGGCCAACAGUGAGAUUGCUGUUCUAGUGUCAGCCAGAGUGAGUAGAACUAAACUAUUCUAUUUUAUUCAAAGUAAUCAACUUUUAAGCAUGUUCAUGCAUCAUGAAUACCAUGUUAUGUAAUAGGAUGUUUGCAUUAGAAAUUCACGAAUAUGAUGCAUUGCAUUAUUUAUUGUUGAUGUGGAUGGAUAUUGGAUGACCCACUAGCCCUCGAUAUGAUAUGAUAUGAUAUGAUAUGAUAUGAUAUGAUAUGAUAUGAUAUGAUAUGAUACGGAAAGACCAUGGUUGCCUAUUCUACGCCCCUGGCACGAUGUAAGGGAAAGACCAUGGUUGCCCACUCUACGCCCCUAGCACAGUUGGACAUGUUAUGUUAUGUUUAAAAGGAAGUCUUAAGCAGCUCCGUCGAGGGCCGGGCAUUAAUUGGACAUGUAGAGGGUUACUGGUGACAAGUCCAUUCUUGAUGUGUAUUGUUUGUGCUGUGAUGCAUUUCAUGAAAGUAUAUGUUUAAUUAAAUUGUUUUUACUGUUCUGCUCACUGGGUUUUAGUAGCUCACCCCUUUCCCCUAACCCCCAGGUUUGCAGGAGUACAGGUAGCUAUGGGAGAAUCAUCAGAGUUUUGGUAUAGCAUGAUGUAAUAGAUUAGUGGUGGACAUGUAAUGUAUUGUGGAUUAGUAUUGUGCUUGGCCCUAAUAUCAGUUGUAAUUCCUUUUGUACAUGAUCUUUAUGUAAAUGUUUUUAAUGAUGAGAUGUGAUGAACCAAGCUUGACAUAUGAGAUGUUGACCCUACUAGAGCAUUUGAUGAGGGCUUUAUUACGGGGUUUUUAUGUUUACAGUUAUGAGGCAUGCACAGGUCAAGUUUGGUAUAUGAAAAGUUUAAGUUUUUAUGUAAAUGUGUGAUCAUGUAUGGGAUUCUAUCAGGUAUGACAGGUUGUAUGUUAGGCUUGCUACGAGUUCUGGCGACCUUAAGUCGACCUGAGUCCUAGCGCCGGUAGCGGUCCGGUUUCUGGGUCGUUACAAUAUUAAUGGCUAAACCCAUUUAACGCACUUAGAAUCAGUUCUUGUUCAGAUACUUUAUGACCAGUAACAAGAAGAGCAUCACCGAUCAUUUUAAUUUGCUGAAAAUAGUCUGAAAUAGAUAACAAAAGAAUGAGAGAUGAUAGUUGUUGUUUUAACUGCAGGGUCCUCACCAUGGAAGUCUAUGCAUACAGCUUCUCAAGGAGAAGCCAUAUCUCAAGUGAUGUAGUGCAGUGAUUCACAAGACCAAUAACUUCCUCACCAAUGAUAGAGAAAAGCCAAUACAACACCAAUUGAUCAGAUCUCCGCCAGACAUGAUAUGCAGGGUUGGGAGAAGGAGUAACAGAUGUAGAAGAAUCAGAGAAAUGGAUAUGGAAUUUUGUAAGUAGAUGAGAUGUAAUCUUCUAGCUCUAAGGCUCUUACAGCAGCCAUGACUUGUACUUUCCAAUUUACGUAGUUUUUCCUAUCAAGCUUGAUAAGGAAAUUAAAAUUCAAUAUUUUGGCUAAUGUAGAAAAAUUGAAAUUUUCAGGUGAGGAGUAAAAAAGAUGCUAUAAUAAUAUAAAAGGAAAGAAUUUUUGUAUAACAAAAUUGAAAUUUUUAUUGAUUGAAAUUAUAUACAGAAUACUUAAUUAUAUAUACACAAAAGAGGCAACAAAUCCAGCUAUGAUUGGCUACAAAUCCUCUACUAUGAUUAGAUGUAUACAACUUAUUAUCUCCGUGCAAUAUUCUUUUUUCUCAUUGUAACAUAAUUCUGUGAUGAAUAAAACAAUCAAGAAUAUCCAAAACUUCUAGAAUAUAUUUGUAGUUGGGCUGAACUAUUCGUCAUUCUUUUUUUAUCUUGACCCAAAUUAUUCUUUUAUCCAAGCCCAUAUAUUUCUUAUCAUCCCUGACGAUCUGGAUAUGUGGCUGCCGGCGGCAUUGUUCCAGGCAUAAAAUCUGCAUUGGAAAUAGAGGGCAUUUCGGUGAAUGCACUCAAAAUUCGGAAAUGAAAAAAAGGCGGCAACUUUGGUACCUCUGCCCAUGAAAACAGGGAGGUAAGCUGGCAUUUCUGUUCCCUCCCUCACACUUUUAUUAUUGUCUCCGCUCUGUUUCUCUCUCCAGGAAAAAAAAAAACCCAUCUUUUUGACUCUUGAUCUAAUAAUUUGGUAAAUCAGGGUCCCAAAAAGAAGUCCUCUCUUGAUUUUUCCUUUUGGAGUCCCAUUUUAGUCCUUCCUUCUGUGAUCUUCCUCCGCUUUUUCAGGUCAGUGAGUUGCUUUUUUCCCUCUCUAAUAUCAUUCCUGGGCGUGUUUGAAUCAUUUCCCAGCUUUUGCUUUUGAUAAUUUUGUUAAGCUCUAUUAAAUUGUUGUUUCAUGUUCAUUAUUCAAAUGUUUCCUGAGAUGAUGAUAUAUAGGACUACCCACUCAACUAUUUUAUGCCUUCACAGUUGGUUGCCUAAUCCUUCAGGUGUUUGUGGGCAUCGAUGCCUUGGUGUUUGGAUGUAAUUGUUCACUUGCCCCAUUCAAAAUAAAAAAAAUUGCAAGUGGUGAAUAGAGAGAAGCAAAUACUAUGUAAUUUAGAUGUUUUUUUUUUUUUUUUGCUAACACACACCAGGAGCUAUUGAUUAUGAGUAAUUGACUAUUAAUAAAGUUGACGCAGGUUUGAUUUUAUUGUUUUGAUCGAGAUAGCAACUUGGACAGUUUUUGCUGUAAAAUCCAAAGAUUAAAUUCUUCUUCUUUGUCUAGUUAACUAUUUUGUUCUUGAUCUGGGAUAUAGCUUUUUUGUGUUCCUACGUUUUGACAUUUCUGCUGACUUCUCUUCUUAAAAUUGAAUGGAAGUAGAUGAGGAUUAUCUUCUCUGCCGUCUUUUUUACUUUUGCAUAAAUCACUUCAGUAGUCUGUUUCAAUUACUUCAGAUCCUUGUCCUAUCAACGUCGUUUCGGAUAUCAAAUUCUGUUUUGUUUAGUUUAUAUAACUUCAUUUGACGAAUAUGUUUUAAAAUAUUCCUCCAUCUUAUAUCAUUCUAAUCAUAAAGAGCUCCAGAAAAUUUCAAAGAUCAACAGCUGCAUUCUAAUCUCUCUUGCAAUACUUGAACUUAGCAACGAUGGAACGGAUGGUUCUCGAUUUGAAAUCCCUUUCUUAUGAUUCUGCGUCAUGUAUUCUUUCCUUGUGUAAUUCUCAUUGCUUUAUACUGUGAUUUAGUGUUCAAAGGACAAUGAAUUGGUUGAUGACAGGGAUGGACCAGGGUGUCAACCUAGUGCUGAAAAUGAUUGAACAGGAUAGUGCAUCUCUAGCAAAGAAAGCUGAAAUUUGCAAACGGAUUAGACCAGAUUUGGUUGAUGAAAUUGAGGAAUUCUAUUGUUUGUAUCGAUCAUUAGCCGAGCGCUAUGACCGUUUGAAUGUGGAGUUAUACAAGAGUACACAAACAGAGUUCCAAUUGCAGGGUGCUGGCAAUGCCCCUGUCACAUCAAUGCUGACUCCUGAACAAAAGCUAGGUUCAUUCAAGACUGGCCGAGUCAAGUCUGUGAGCUCUGGUGGUGCCAGUUCUGAUAUUUCAUCGAAGGGUGGCUCUGACUUGUCAUCAUUAUCGUCAUCAGACUCUGAAUCAGAAUCUUUCAACUCCUAUGGCAAUGCCUACUAUAGCCUCCCCAUGAACACUGAUGAUAACGACCCGCACCACAAGAUUGUUAAGUUGGGGACUGCUCUUCCAAGCAUGGAAGAGAAACUUAAGAUGGAUGUGGAAGAAAAUGGAGAUGGUAUGCUGAAUUCGGAAGAAAAUGAAAGUUAUGAAGAAGUGCGCAGUCAGAUCAUCAGGUACGAGGAAGAGUUGAGAGUUCUGAAGCUAAAAUUGCAGAUCUCAGAAGAGGAAGUUACUGAGUUCAAAAACGAGCUUGCUAAGAGUGAACAUUUUAUGAUACUAACAGAAGCUUUGCAAGCUCAGCUUGAAUCAGCAAAUAGAGAUGCCAAAAUGAGAGAGACUGAUCUUGAAGAAGAGAGAGCAAGAGUGACGACGCUGCAAAAACAAACAGCUGAUGUUAUUCAUGAAUUGAAAGGUCAGCUUAAAUUGUCUCAAGAAGAAAAAAUUAUGUUGAAGGCCAAGCUUGAUUCAGAGAAUAAUCAAGUUUUAAAAUUGCAGGAGAGGUUUUUCCAGUGCAAAAAUGAGUUGUCUGAUCGCGAUGAUAAGGUCAAAGCAUUAAAACUUGCAAUGCUUAAUGCUGAGGAGAAUUUCUUAAUUGAGAAAUCAAAUCUGCAUUCAAAUAUAUCUAGUUUGUCAGAGAGAGAGAACAUGUUGGAGGUAAGGCUCAGGGAACUGGAGUUACAAGGCAAAUCCAUGGAGGAUAAAUUGAGGCAAUGCGAAACUGAGAAAAUGGAAUUGCAACUUUUACAUGACACCCACAGGAUGGGGUUGGAAGCAGAGAGCAGGCAGUUGAAGGUAGAACUUGAUGACAGAAAUGGACGUAUAGAAGCUUUGAAUAAAAACCUUGACAAUCUUAAAUUCAAGUAUGAUAUGCUCGUGGCAGAGAAAGGUGGGCUGAAUGCUAAGGUAAACAAACUUACUGCAGAUGUGAGUUCACAAGACAAACAAAUCGGCCAAAUGAAAGAGCACCUCAGGCGCAUGCAUAUGGAAAAUUUGGAACGCAUUGCUGGUUCUGAAGAGCUGCAAAAGCUAGUAGAUGAGCUAAGAUUGAGAGCAGUGGAGUUAGAGAAGAAGGUGGACAAGCAGAGGGAUGAGCUUUGUGCUGGUGCCGAGGAGAAAAGAGAGGCAAUAAGGCAGCUUUGUUUCUCCUUGGAUCACUAUAGGAGUGGGUAUAAAGAGCUCUGUGAAGCAUUUCUUCAGCAGAAGCGACAUGCAGUCAUGGCUUCCUAAGGUCUCCUUGAUUCUACCGCUGGACUAGUAAGGUUUCUAUAGCUCUUUCAUAUGUUUUAUUUGUGUAUGAAAACAAUUGCUGUGGUGGAAAUUUUUUUCUUGCUGGCAAGUUUUGGACCUCAAAGGACGGUUUUCUUUGGCUGUUUAUCAAUUUAGACAUUUGAUGAUAAUCUUGAAAAAUCCUAUUAUAUUUGCACUGUAUUUUGAGGCUUGGAGAUGAAUACAAUUACCUAUUACACUUACGAAAUGGCAUGAGAAGAAAGUUGAAGCUUUUUCUCUUAUUUCUUUUCUUUACAAAAAGAUGUUAAAAUUAACAUCCAGUUAGACCAAUCAAAAUUAUUUAGCUAGAACCAAUUAGUGGCAGUGGAUGGAUCAGAAGAAAGUUUAUGUGAACUUGCUGCAUCAUCUGCUUCAUGUUGAAUAAGGAUGCAUCUAUUGUAACUUCAAAUUGGCCUAACAAUUUUAUACUAAAUAUUUAUAUUUGAAUUCAUACAUUCAUUACAUUUAUACUUUUAAUUAAUUUUAAUAUAAAUAUUUAAUCUAAGUAUCUCCAGCCUUAAGUCAAAAUGAGGAAUGCCCAAUAAGAGAAAUUGAGAAUUCGGGCCUACAAACUGCAGUUAAAUUCCAAGAACGAGAAGGCUUGAGGUGAUGAAUAAUCCCCAUCUCCAAGUGUUUAUUAUGUGCAGGAUAUUUUAUGACUAUUGCUGAAGCUGAUGGCAUAUAUGUAGUCAUUACCAACCGUUUGGUUCCAUAGCAGGCAGAUCAAGUAUCCAUUGAAUCCACAGCUUUGACUACUUUCCAUUGUAAUUUAUAAAACGAAUAACUCUUAUUUUAUUGUUAGAGUUUGCACUAAAUUAAUAAUAAUAAUAAUAAUAAGAGUUAUUUAAAUUUUAAUAGUAAAAAAUAGUGAAAGGUAAAUUAAACAAAAUUAAAUAAAAUUUAUUAUUGACAUAUCGAAUAUAUUUAUUUAAACUAAAAAAAGAACAUUUUUAAAUUUGAAAUAUUAAAACUGACGAGUCGAUUUCAAUUUUGAAUUCAAUUAAAAGCAGCCCGUGGCGCUUAGAUGGGGUGACUGGAUGACCUAUUGACAUGUGGCACAUAACUGUUGGACAGAGUAGCCAAUCCAAUCAAACCCACGUCCCUACUCUUCUUCCGUCCAAGUUCCAUUUCGGUUGACUUGGACUUUUCGCCAUCUACCAAAGCAUUCUGGAAACCCAAUUAUGCAAUCAAAACAAAUAAAUUAAAAGAUGUAUUCUGUUUUCAGUUUGCACUUACUGAAUUGCAUGGGGCUUGAGAAUCUAAACCAAUAAAAUGGACAAAAGAGAAACCCCUUCAAAAUAUGGUCUGUUUCAUUUUUUGCCAUUAUUGUUAAAUAAUAAAACUGAAAACAAAAAUUAAAAUUUCUAAAAUAACCAAUCAAAUCAUUGCAACUGAUUUACCGAACUUAAUAUAUUAAAUUGCUGCCUCUCCCUAGCAAGAAGAGAGAAGCAAGGGAAGGGAUGAAAAAGAAAAGAAGCAGCAUCAAAAUAACGGUCGUGCAAGGGAAUCUGUGAAACAUGUAGCGAAAGCAGAGGUGGGUGAAGGCUUUAAAAUUUAAGCAGCAUCAACCCAUUUAUUCUCGUCGUCUGCAUUUGUCUUCCCCAACAUCACUCAUCCCUUCUCUUACUUGCGUACCUUGGCCUCUUGUCUGUUGACAACUGAAUAACUAACUGUCUUUUUGGCUUUCCACGGUCCAGGGUUGACUGGCCUCACCUCUACGGUCUUUGAAGUCUACCUUAACAGAGAGAUAUAUUGCUUGGUUUCUUUGUCUGUCUGACAUAAAAAGGACCAGUACAUAACAAAUCCAUCAGGGCACUAAAGAAAAAGAGAUGUUCCUGACUGAACUUUACCGUCACGCAAAGAAUUUUCAUUAGUUGCUACCUCAGGUUCUUUGCUAUUUCUCUCUCUCUUUUUUCUCUCAUGUAUGCUUCCCUUCUUUUGCAUUUCAAAAUUCUCCACAAUCUGCAUUGAAUACCACUCGUCUCUUAAAUUCUUAGCUUCUCUCUCGACUCGGCUGGAUUCUCAGAUUGCUCAACAAGUUAAUGGGUAAUUGGACUUUCUAUGAUAGAUUUGAUCUGAUCUCACUAACCCUCCGCACGUUCUUGUUCCUUCUCUAUUUAUUUUUGCUUUAUAUUUCAGGUUUAUGUAAUACUUGCUGGUAAUCUGUCCAUAAUAAUAAAAUAUGUAUUAUGCUUGUUCUCUUUUUUGCAGUUUCCUUGCUUGCUUAUGUUCUAUAUUCUAUAUCCCGGUUCCACUUUCCUUAGAUGCGUGAAUCUGUGUCCAUUUCCUUCUGUAAAUAGUAAGGCCUAAUAUUUUAGCAUUUUUAAGCUAAGUUUUCAACUUGCUCUUCUUCUUCCUUACUUUGCUCGUCUUUAUUUGCAUCUCCUUCUCAACUUUGACUAUCACUGCAAAUUUGCUCCUUUUUUUUUUUUGGCUCAAAUUGUACAUCAAGGUCUGUUUCCUAAUGUUAUUGAAACUGCUCAAAUAUAUUAAUUAUACGUUAUUAUAAGACAGUCACUCCGUGGUUCAUCCCCUACCCCUUCCGGGUGGGGACAAAUCCUCCUGCCACUCGGAGAUGUGGAUUUCCCUCUCCCACUUCGUGUGGGUGUAAAUAUUCUCUUUUCGAUUUGCAGAUCUAGCUUUAUGGUGAGGGUAUCAAAGGAUCUGCAUUUUUUCUUUUAUGUUCUUGUCUGUGUUUGGUUGUACGUGUCCUUGGUGUUGCGGUUCUUGCAUGCAGGUUUUGGGCACUCGGUGAGUUUUCUCCGCCGAGUGCAGCCAUGUAUCGGAUUAAUGGGUCUACUUUUUCUAUGGCGAGCAUCUUUUGGGACGCUCCCAGUGCUCUUGUCAGCCACCCGGUCUCUCAAUGACUAAAAGAGUUAAAAAGCUCUGUUCGCCGCCCGUAGAUCCUCGUGGCUCGGUUCCUCCCUUCCCCAGCUAUAUGCUUAUGUGUUUUCUGGCUCUUUCAGUAGCCCUUCCUCGUGGAGUUGUUUCUUUAAGGAGAAGUGUCUAGCUGUCGUAUGGCAGUCGACUUCUCUGGAUCAUUCUCCUCACGAAAGUUCAGGUUGUGGCAGCACUUGGUUGUGAUGUUCGGGUUGGCUUAGAUUCUUGUUCCAAUCCUAUCCGUUUUUGUUGGGUCACUAGAGUUUGUGGAGUGUUUUUCUUGUGGGCUAGGCUGCUUUUUAUUAGGCUAAUUGUGGGUGGGUCUGCCUAUAUGUAAUGUGUUUAUCUUGUAUUUGUUGGGCUUCUGCCUUCAUUGAAAUCCAACUUAUUUUCGACAAAAAAAAAAUAAUAAACAAUUAAAUUUGACAGGAUUGAGUAACAAGAACUCUAAAUUAAUAAAAUAUUUUUCUUUUCAACGUUUUUUUCCAGCGACAUUUAAAAUGGUAGUUUUAUUGGAAAGCGCUUUUUUAUCCAAAACCUCAACGCGGGCCUAAAUGUUUAGCCAAAUGAUGCUUUACUGUAUUUUAUGUUUUGUCGUUUGAUUCACAUUUCAUAUUCAUCUUUCCAUGUCUGAUUCUUGACAUACAAAAAGGCCAGACUAGCACUGGUUUCCAAAGGUGUCUUGACUCUUCAGUCUUGUGUUAAUGGGGUAUUUCUCAAAUUAUCUAAUUGUGUAGGUGAGUAGUCUCCAAUAAGAAAUGGAGCAUCCUUAACUCUAUUAUCGUUUCUUGUUCUACUGUUGCAUAACAAUAAAAUGACUUCCAAUAAGUUCUGUUGCUGAACAAUUUCUAGAACUUGUUUUUGCUCACUCUACUCCCACAGUUAUGCAGUGAGAUUUUUUCUUAUUGAAGGCGGUUUUCUUCCUUUGUGUAAAUAUGUCUAAUGAGUGCCUAUGUAUUUGUCUGUUUGCAGAAGGUUUAGCCUCAUACUAUAACAAUAAGGAAUUAUUCAAGGUUGAUCCUACUUGGUUUUAGCCAUAUCAAAAUUAGAGACAAAAGCCUACACUUGGAUUGAUUACAUUUAUAUAUUUGGAGGAAAUGGCCAGUGGAACAAGUGCACAGAUUCGACUUGUCAGAUGUCCUAGAUGUAUGAAGAUCCUUCCUGAGUCUCUAGAUAUUCUUGUCUAUGAGUGUGGUGGCUGUGGCACGCGUCUCCAAGGUAAUAGUCUAAUAAGUUUAUGCCGUACAUCAUGGUGAAUUAUUAAGAAAAAAAUUUUGGAUUCUAGACGGUAAGAAGCAAAUAUCCUCUAUUAAUAUCAUGAUGAAGCAAAGACCAGAUGAAAUCUUGUUUAUCUUAGGAAUUCUACAACCGAAAGGGAUUGUUCAUAAUUAAGUCUUGAUCCUUAACUAUGAUGGACCAUAGUUACAACUUAUGUAAUGGUUCAAUGCUAUUAUUUAGGUUUCAUCAGCUCCCUAUAUUUUAUUGAAAGUGCAAUUUGUUAAUCAGUUGUUAAUUAAUCUUGUACCUUAAUACAGCAAAAGAUCGAAAAGAAAAUGCCAAAAGCAGAACAUCUGGAUUACCUGAAAUUGAUGCUUCAGAGAAGGAUAAAUUGGAUCAUGUUGCUGAUACAAAGGAAGAUUGCAGCUUAAGUUAUGAAACUAGUCUUCAUUCUGGAGCGGAAUGCUCCUCGAACCAAAAUAAUGGGAGGGAUCAGAAUGAAUCCAGCAAUGGCAAUGGUGACAAGCUCUCAGGCUUUUACUUACCAAGUGAAAACGAAAACAAUGUAAGCGACCAAAGUGAAUCUGGGGAGUUUGAUAGUGAGCAGCUCGAAGAUGAAAACUCACCAAAUGAUGACAAAAAAAGUGGGACUGACAAGAAUGAUCCCGGGAUUUGUGACAAUCAACAAGACGGAGGCGUAAACUUAUCAGAUGAGGACCACAACAAUGGGAGUCAUCAAAAUGAAUCUCUGACUUGCAAAAUUGAGCAGCAUGAAAUUUCCAAUGAAGAUUUUUCAUCAAAUGAACUUUGUCAUCUUGAAAAUGGGAAGCUGUCCCAGUCUCCAUUGUCAAGAACAAAUUCAGAAGUUGAUGUUAGUGACGAAAGCUUACUAUCAGCAGCAAAGCAAAAGGUAAAAGCAAAAGCAGAAGCAGAAGCAGAAGCAGAUGCUCACAGUGAGAGUAAUUCUACUUUGAGGAGAUCAACCAAAGGGGUGCCGAUUGAUACGAAGGGAAGUAAUUCAAUUGCCACCGCCCAACAUCCAGCAAAAAAAAAUAUUUCACCUGACAUCUUUUCAUCUUCGCCUUAUGAACUUCUGGAGCACCCUCAGGAUAGUCCUAACCACAGGUUUGACUAUGUAAUGUCUAGAGAUGCUUUUGAAAACUCAGAUUUUAUCGACCCCAGCUCUGAGCUCAGUGGUUCUCUUAUAGAUUUGUCCAAAUCGCCCACAACCAGAAGCUCUCGUGCUUAUUAUGAUGAUUGUGCCUCUUCUUAUGAAGGAACUGAUGAUCAAUUGCCUCAUCGACACAAGCAUUCAUCUAAACAUGCUUGUAGGAUUGCAAACUGUGUUGCUUCUGAUGCGAGGCCUAGAAGGGAAGGAUUCCCAAUCAACACCAGCAAUAACGAUGCACAACAUCAUUUCAGGACUUCUGCAUCAAUUCUGCCUGAAAGGAUGCAUUAUGCCAUAAAAUCCAACAAGUUGGAUCGAGAUGAAUUGCUAGAGCCCAUAAGACAUGGCCAUCCAUGUAGAAACUGGAGAAGAUUAGAGAAAGAUGACUAUCUGUCUCAGCGCCCUUUUCACAGGAGGAACUCUCUGGCUAGCUAUGAAAGUGGCAACCCUUCCAAUCACAAUAAGUUCCAUUCAAGCUUUCCAACGCAAGACAAGCCUUUAUACACGGAGCAGGAGAAGAUGAAACUAUUGAGAAUGUUUUAUGAAUUGCAGGAUCAACUUAAUAAAGCAUCUUUGAAUGAUAAAACAAUCGGAAUGGCGGGGAAAGAUGAUGAUAUUCGCAUGAACCACGGUCAUGAGGUCUUCCAGAAGGAAAGUUUCCAUAACUUAAUCUAUCCCAGGUUUUGUGGAAGACUCGGAGAGGAAAGUAAUUGGCCUCAACAGAAAAAAUACUCACGAGUACCUUUCUCAGCAGAGGUAACAACCAGUAGACACCAAGUUGAUCAUUCCUUCUGCUGCUGUCCCCAAGAGUGGAAGUGCACUACACAAUUUCCUCAACCUGGCCUUCAUCAAUAUAAAGGGUUUCCUAGGGUACACUCUCAUCUUGGCCUUUACAAUUCCUAUGGCUCUUGUCCCUCGAGCCCUCAAAGGCACGUGGAUCCUGAGUUUCCUACAUAUAGCCACGGAACAAAAUCUGAUGACCAGAGGCGUAGAAACCAAGAGUUGAAGAGGUCCUUGAGGGAGAAACAUCACUUGGCUAAGCGACACCUCAGGCCCAUAGCAGGUGGAGCCCCUUUCAUAACUUGUUAUUGUUGCUUAAAACAGCUGCAGCUGCCUGCAGAUUUUCUCCUCUUCAAAAGGAGGUGCCAUCAGCUAAAAUGUGGUGCUUGUUCGAAGGUACUCAAUUUCUCACUUCAAGACAGAAUUCAUCUACUUCCAUAUACACCAAGAACUGAAACACCUCCGCCAAGUGAGGUUGACGAGUAUAGUUAUUCUAUUCUUCGGAGAAACUUUACUUCCACUUCUCACAUCAGUGGUCCCUAUACGGAUUCUGUGUCGUGUUCUGAUGAUUGUAGACUCUCCUCCUACAAAAGUUGCUCCACUGUUAGAGAUCCUGUUCCCCCGAAACCAUUUCAUGCUAUCCAAAAAAACGAAGUUCAAGGAAAUAUGCCACAUGUUUCACCUGAGCAUGGAGAAGAGACAAGGAAGUUUGCUUUGAAUGAAGCUCGAAACAAAGGUAAGAAUCUUGUGCAAACAGAUGAAUCAGCUGGUUCUUCUUCUAGAACGUCCAUAUUAAAGAAAGUAUCAUCAGAAAUUGAAGAGCUGCCAGCAGCAGGAAGAAGAGGAGGGGGGUCACCACUCCAUAGAUUAAUGGGUUAUUCCUCGGCAAGUGAAGUAAUAUAUGGUUAGGGUCCAUCUGUCUCUGCUUACCCAACCAUCAGGAGAUGUAGAGGAACUUAUUAGAGAUAAUCUCGACGAGUGGUUGUUUGUGUUGCUCUCUCUUUCUGGUUUGUUUCAGUUUAAACUGAUUAAAGAAUUUUGUAUGUACAGACAAGUGUUCUACAGAGAAAGUAUGAUUUGUUUAUUUGUAUAGAGUAUUGUUGAAUCCUCUUUAUAAACAGAAUAUUAAAUAUCCUUUUUCCCCUUGUCAUAGCAGUUGAAAGAAGGAUGCCAAAUGUCUUACUACAUCUAUUAUGAUCAUUGCUCGUUUAGCUCAAUUCAACUUUGACCGUCUUAAGGUGCAUUUCAUAAAUUGUGCGGUUCGAUUGUUUGUCAAGUAUGCCGGGCAAAUAUUAUAGUAAGUUCAGCUCCAUACAUCUAAUGAACAAUUCGAGAUAUCUCAAAGCUCGACACAGAAACUAGUGAACAGCUCAAUACAGGUACAAAAUUAACAAAGUUUGAAGAAAACACUGCUCAAAGAACCUGCAUACCACCAUACAAAUAGCUCGUCUACAGCCUACUGUCUAUGGUAACAGGCUGGUAUCUUGAGACUGAAAGGAAUGGGGUCUAGCUCCAUUAAUCCCUUGAAUUCUUAAAUAACUAAAACUUAAAUGGCAUCUUAUUGAAGCAUGUAAAUCCAGCUCAACUGCCUUGUGUUGGCUUGACGCGCUUGCAUCCUAAACUGGAACUAAUUCCACUCUUAAGUCUGGCACCCAUGCAAAUUGCUUUACAUUUGUAUAGUAGAAUCCGGGAUCAAGAACUCGGCCAAUUCACAUUGCCUUCUUACUGUAAUUCAAACAAAGGAUACUCGUAGAAAGGAAUUUCCAACAAUAAAAUUGCAUUCCCUCCAAUGUAGACAAAAUACAAACGUUGCAGAAGUGCAUUCCUAUAUUCCUAUAUCAUAUGAGAAAUUCAUUUCUAAUUUCUCAAGUCUUCCAUGGAUAUAUAUGCGACUCCAGCUUUGGAGUAAUUCUAUGAAUUGUAUUUACACGAGAAAACAAGAGGAAACANNNNNNNNNNNNNNNNNNNNNNNNNNNNNNNNNNNNAAAAAAAAAAAAGCUAUUGGCUGACCAACGAUGCACCUAAAUUUAUGAGAUUCAUUUGAAAUUGUCCCUAUAGCUCCUUCUUUUAUUUGAAACAAUCGUAAUUCUCUGAUCCUGAAGCAUGUUCAUGUUGGGAGCCAACAACCGAGUAUACCGAUCGAAAUACAGAAGCUGUUUCAUAAGAAGCGCAAACUCCCUAGGAAAUCUGAGUCCAUAGGAUUCACUAACACGAAUCUGUUGUACAACAGAAAAGUAACACAUGUUAGAAUUAGCAAUUACCCUCAGGCAGAUGCACCAACUGAUGGAGAAGUUUCAACAAAUUAAGUAGCUCCACCUUUCAACUAAACUCUGCAUUGCUUGUUUUUCGAGUAAUAAGAUAUUUCUCUCAAAAUAAAAAUCUACAAGUUUAUUUAAUUCAUUUAAACUUAACAUGCAUCCCAACCUUAGAUACUCCUUUAUGACCUCAGCUAAGCCACGAAGGCAUCCUCUGAACUUGCAAAACAUUUCAGAUGGAGGCGACAUUUCUCAAACCCCCAGCCGAUCCAAUUGCACUCAAAUUCCACUCAUCACAUCCAUAAUUUCCUAUACCUGGAAUUACUCUCAAAUUUAUAGACAACUCUUGAUUGACUGACUGAGUUGUAUGUCCGCCUAGGUUGUUACAAAUGAAAACUAUGCUAAAGGGAUAAAGAAAAAUCUUUGCUUGGCAAACCUAUUGACAGCUAACAGGCUUUUAAUAAUGUGCAUAUUUUGAAUAAACAAAUCAUGAUACUUGGGUAUAGCAAAUAGUAAAUCCAUGAUGAUUCAACUAAGCCAUGACCAUUUAACUAAUAUAUAGGCAGCACAUAGCCUACCAAUAUUAACAAGUUCAAACUACAUAUUGGCAAAUUCUUUGGACCUAAUUCACAGAAUUGUUUUCCCUCUCAAACAACAAAUUAAAGUAUAUAAUCUUACCACAUCGAGAAAAAGUGCAUUCAUUUGCCUCUCGUCAACUACUACAUUGGCAGAAACAGCAGUUGCAUUUGUAGUAGUAUCUCGUGCUGUUGCAACAACUAUUUCUGUAUCUAAUUCCUGCAUUAGAAGAAGAGUGUUUCAAAGCACUACUCAGAAUAAAUUUGAUGUAUGGGAACGAGCUGAACUAAACUUCAAAAUUAUAGUUGGUGUUUGCCUUUAUUGAUGAAAAUAUCUUUUCCAAGUCUCUUGCAAAGGCAUUAGUAUCAACAUCUUUGUUUGUAGCUCCCAUUUCAAUCAAGGCAGAUGCCAUUGACUCGUAUUCUUCAGAUGCAAUUGAUGUCAAAAACACUUCCAUAGCAGCCCAGGUUUUGGGGGAUAUGCGACCUACUAUUCCUGCAGAAUGGAUUCUUUUUCAGUUGAUAAUUAACAUAGAUAACAGCUGAUUAGGAUUUCCAAAUGAUUAGUAUUUGUUUAUAGAGUCUAGGCUUCAUCUAAGAAAAUCCAAUAGUUACACAUCUAGUGUUCCUAAUCUUUUCUGAGACAGUCCAAAAAUCUAACAGAAAUGGUGCUAAAAAAGUGUCGUUAUCUAUAAUUUUGAAUUAAGGCUUUUCAUUUCAAUCAAUAAUACUUAAUUGUUCUCAAAAGAAAGAUAAAAAUAUAAGAAUUAUCUUCCAUGUUAUUUUACCCAUGGCAUGCAAAUUGUCAGCUGGAAAUUUACAGAAUUCAUGCAACAAUUCAUUGUGAUUUAUGCUAAAUCGAAAUUAUUGUAAUGAUUAUUAUGUUAUUACCAGAGCACAAGGAAUAGCCAUUUUAGCAAGAGUGUUUGCUGAAAAAACAUAAUCAGACAGUCAUGCAUGUGAAAAGGGCAAACUUCUGAAGGUGAAGUCUACUAACAAACUGGUCUAGGCUAGUUAUCAAUACAUAAUUGUUACCAUUGGGAUCCAACAAUGUCCAACCAUUCCACAAGAGUUGAUUACUAUUACAGUUCUUAGAAACUGAAUCAAGAAUGAUCAUAGUCGCAGUGGCAAAAGAAGCUUACCAAAAUCAAGAAAUCCAAUACGACCAUCACGUAAUAACCACAAAUUGCCAGCAUGCACAUCUGCAUGGAAACUUUCACAUGCAAGCAAACUACCAAACCUGCAUAAAAAAUUAAACAUGACCAGAUUUUCAACAUCUUACCAUACAGGAUCUUCAAGAUAAACGUAUGUCUUACCACACAUUAAGGGCUGUGAUAAGACUGGUCUCUGGACUAGAAACAAGAGAACUUAUAGAAUCCAGGUCUGUAAGAGGUACUCCAUACAGCCUUUCCAUGGUAAGAACUCGCCGGCUGCUGCAAUGCUGAUAGACUUUUGGAGCAGUAGCCUGCCUUGUAAGUCCCAUAGCUUCUAAAUAUCUCCUAAAUGACUCAAUAUUUGCAGCUUCCUUAUAAAAAUCAACCUCUUCAAGCAUGGAUUCCCUUAUGUCUUUGACAAUAGCAACCUAACAAAUGGACAUGAAGGAUAUAAAAGAAUUACCUAGUGUUCAUCAGUUAACAAGUAAAGAUAAAAGGAGAUGCAUGUAUCAGGAGAAAACUCUGUAGCAAUGUCCUUUAUGGAAACAACUAAAAUUAGGUUGUCAUAGAAGUCCUAUUACACCAUCAUCUAAAUAAAUAUAAAUGCAUAAUGAAGUUGGAUUAGAAGUUGUUCCAACCACAAUGCAAAUAAGCACAGGAAAAAAAUAUGAACCAGAUAAAAGGCGUAAAAUUUUCUGAAGAAACUGCAGAUAAGUAAUAAAUUCAAAAAAUAAUGAAACAAGUUAACCAUACUAGUGAUGCACGGCUGAGAUCAUGACUUAAGAACUCCAAUAUGCGAGCAACAAUAUACACGAAGUUCAAAUCUGCCACUAGUAUAUCUUCUAUUCCAGGUUUGAGGACCUUUAUAACUACAUCUUCUUGUGAACCUUUGAGCCUUGCCCCAUGAACCUAGACAAUAUAGCCAAUCAGUUUAAUCACAACAUAAAUAUGAUAGAUGAGACUAUAGGAUAUUAUCAAUCAAUCUAACAUCAACCAUCAAAGAUCAACAUGAUAAAUAAGACUCAAAAAAUAUGAGGGGAACCAGCUAGCCGGAGAAACAUAAAACAUUCAGUGGGAAAAGCAGUAUUAAUACCUGUGCUAUAGAGGCUGAGGCAAUUGGCAUUGGGUCAACAUAUUCAUACACACUUUCUAUUGGCCUUCCUAAUUCCUCACGCAAGAUUGCUUGAAUUUCUUGAAAUGGGAUGGCUGGAGCUCUAUCAAAACACUUUUGAAAUUCUUCAACAUAUUCUGGUGGGAACAUUGUUGGUGCAGAUGCUAUGAACUAAAAACAUGCAUGCUAAGAAAGCAUUAGUGAAAUAAUACCUUGGUCAUGUAUAAAACCAAAAUGGAUUAUUUAGUUCAUAAUAUAAAAAGGACGAAUUAGUUAGACAUACGACUUGUAUUAAGCUGCAUCUUAAAACAACAUAACCAGAUUUAUAAAACACAAACAAAUAGGUCUAUGCUCAUGAAGAAACUAAGAUAAGUAAAACUAGGACUUACCUGACCUAAUUUAAUAUAAGUUGCUCCCAUACGCUCAAAUAAUCUCCUCAAGUACAGUGGAGAAAGUAAUCCAAGUUGCAUUUGUGUUGGCAACCCAGUAGAUGAAUUUGCUGACUGCAAUUUUAAAAAUGGUAACAGUAUCAAUCAAUCUAGUAUCAUAAAGACUAAGCAAAGCAAAAAAGUAAAAAAAGAAAAAAAAUAUUAAAUCUAAAACGGUAUCCAUUUUUCCAAUGGAUCAGCACCAAAAGAUUUUCCAGUGAAAUAGUAUCAAAAUCGCAACUCUUAGGGGCCAAAAUAAUCUUGCAUUCUCCAAUCAUGCUUUUGUUUUGUCCUCCCCCCCCACCUUCCCUCAAGUAAAAAACUUCUAAGAUAACCACCACAUUUUUAAUAUAUCCUUACCACGCCAACCAGCCAUCUGUUUCUUAAGUACCCAUCACCACAUGCCAAAGUUUGCUCCAGAGUUCCCAGUGUUCCUUCGAAUUUGUUAGUUAUUACCCAAAUGAGAUCAUAUAUUUCUAAAAAUGAAUGCAUGCAAUUAAUGGCCGCUUUGUCUUUGAUGACCCAACCACACAUAACGCUUAAAGAAUCUUGAGUAUAAUCCACUAAGAUCCAUAAACAAAAUUCAGUCAUCUAGAAUAGGUCAUAGAAGUGGAAACAAUUCAUCUUUUGAAACUAAUUUAACAAAUGCUAUGUGUUGCACCUAUAUAUUAUUCAUUACAAUUAAAAUAGCAUAGCAACAGAGAAAGAAAUAGCAAAAGAUAGGGGUGUAAAUGAACCAAAUUAUCCGUGAGCUAUUCGAUAUUCAACUUAAUAAAAACUCGACCGGACUCACCUCGAUUUCUAAAGUAGCCAGCCAAAUUCGAGCUUAGUUUUUAGGCUCGUUUAGUAAACGAGCCGAGUUUGAGCUCCAUAAUAUUCGGCUCGUUAAGACUCGUGAGCUCAAUUCGUUUUUAAAUUUAUAAGCAUGCUCACGAAUUAGCUCGUGAACAAACUCAAUAAGCAUGUUGAGUUCAAUAUAAUAAGAGAAUAGAGCUCAAAGUUUGGAUCAAUUUUCAUAUGACAAAAAUGAGUUUUCUAAUAUGUUUGAUUACAGUCUUAGAGCAUACAAAUAUUCAAAUCAUUAAGAUUUAAGAGUUUGUUUUCUACAGAUUCGUGAGUUAACUUGUAUAUAUACUUAUUUAACAAAAAUUUUUUAGUUAUAUACUUAUUAAUUUUAAAUUAAAUCUUGCUAUAAUUGUAAAUAAAUUAAACUGUUCCUGAAUUAUUUGAGAUUAGAUCCGAUAAAAACUCGAUUCAUAUUAGCUCGUUUGCUAAACGAACCACACUUGAGCUUAUUAGCAUUCGCCUUGAGUUCGAAAUGAGCAAAACUCGAACUCAAAAAAAUUCUAAUGAACCAAACUUGAGUUUUUCAAAUUUGCUUCUGUAAUACCCGGCUAGACUCCGGUAUCGGAAUUCCUACCGUCCGAUGGAAUCUCGGAUAUCGGAAACCUCUAAAAGGGUAAAACCAUGUUUUUAUAAAAUGUUUUAAUGUAUUUUAUGAUUUUAAGUAAGAAAGAAAUUGAGUUUUGAAUGAAAUAGACCAAGGAGGCAUUUCCAGGUUCGGCCGCCGAACCUCAAGUUCGGCCGCCGAACGUGGGAUAGUUUAGGGGGGGGGGCAUGUUUGGUUUCCGAAAGUGGCUUAGGUUCGGCCGCCGAACCCCAUGUUCGGCCGCCGAACUUGCCUGAGUUUUGGAGGCACCUUAGGCUGCCGAAAGGUGGUUUGGCAGCCCCUAUAUAAGAGCUCCAUGGCCGAAACGGGCGAGAUUUCUCCCCAUUUUCAGCCAACGGUGAGUCCAUGCCCUCCCAUGGUCGUUUUUUAUGUUUUUCCUCCAAUCUUUCAAGUUUUAACAAGUGUUUGCUUGGUUUUUGAAGAUUUGUGAACUUAGAGCAAGUUUUGGAGCUUGGAGACCAAAGAGUGGAUUUCUCCCCAUCUCCAACAAGAAGGGCAAAAUUCAUCACCCCCAACUUCUCCAAGGUUCGGCCGCCGCUCCACCUCCACUUUUGCCACCGCCGGUUCACCUCCUCCCUCCCUUCUCUUGUAUUUUCUGUUUUGGUUCAGCCAUGAGUGGCUGAAACCCUUAAUUCUAGUUGAAAAUUGGUUGAAACAAAACCAUCUUGUGACCUAUUCUUGUCUCCUUGGUCUCUCUUUCUUUUGGGGGAGGUGAUAGAGCAUAUUUUAGUCCUUUUUAUCUUGAUAUGAUUGAUGAUUAUUUACAUAAUUUCUGCUUAAUUUAGUUCUCUUGACAUUGUUUUGCAGAAAAUGGUGUAAAAGGACAUUUUGGAGAAAAUCCUCGUAAAACUACCUUAUUUGGAGCAAAAGGGAGCAAGCCUGCCAAGUUGAAAUCAAGUCAAGCUAAAUAUGGAAAGUUCUAAAUAAGGAAAGUGGUAAAUAUGGAAAGAACAUUCAGCCAAGGCAAUUUGAAAUUCAAAUUUCAAAUCUCCAAGAAGCCUUUUCCUUAUUCAAGAAGCCAUAUCCUAAGCUGCCAUAUAUGGAGAGCCAAAUGAGGAAAGUAUUUUGAAAGUCAAAUCCCCAAGAUUCAUAUUCAGAUUUUGGAUUUCAGGAUCAAGCUUAUUAAGGAAGCCAAAUCCAAAGAUCACAUGUUUCCCACUUCAUGCCUUGCACAUUCAAAAUUCAAAUUGCAAAAGUAGGCUCCACCUUCCUUAAUUGUGAAUGGGCGGCAAGGGGAUGUGAAGAGGCACCUUGGGCAGCAACUUGGACACACUUGGGCAGCAUCUUGAACACCUUGGGCAGCAAUUAAAAGACCAAAGAGCCCAUCCCUUGCAAUUUGAUACAUGCUCCACGUUUUUGCCUUCACACAUGCACAUAAAAGGCACAUAUUGGACCAAGGGCACUUUAGGCAUCCUCUAAAAGAUGCAUGGACAGCCAAGAAACCCUAGGCAGCCUCUCAAGACAUAUUUAAACAUGUAAGCUUAGAUCCUACUUCUCUUGUAUGUUUUAAGCGAGUUUUAUGAAGUUUUAUGGGGUAGAAAUGCAUGUUUAGGUUUUAUUUGAGUUUAUGGGUUUAUGUUGUGUUUAUGAGCAAUGUAUGUUGUAUAUGCAUGUUUGAUGUGUUGUAAUUGGGGUUUAGGAUAGUUUGAGACCCCUAUAUGCUUGUUGGCUUGAGUUGCUUGUUGUAGAAUAGGUAAAUGCAUGAUUGAAUGGUUUGGGAGGUAUUUGUGCAUAUAGGAGGCUGAGUUCUGACCUUUGGAAGAACUCAGGUUCGGCAACCAAAGGAACUUUCGGCCACUAAACCUGCCUGUGGAGGCCAGCCUUUGGCUGCCGAACCCUGCCCCCGAAAGUGGACUUUCGGCUCUGGAAGGGAGUUUCGACCGUCGAAGGUGCCGCCGAACAUGCAUGAGUUUCGUCUCUGGAGAGAACCUUCGGCCGCCGAAAGUGCCGCCGAAGGUGCAUGACUUUCGGCUCUAGAGGGACUUUCGGCCGCCGAACCUGCCGCCGAAAGUGCCCUGUCCAGCCUUCUUUUGCAUGAUUUCCUUGAUUGUUUUAAGGUGUUUUAGGGGGUUUUUGGGGAGUAUCUUUAGAGUCUUAUUCAUGUAUGUUUGGUCCCUCAUUUGAGUCCACCUGUGUAGGUUUGGACCCGAGGAACCGAGGACCCCAGCAGUGAGAUAGCUGCUUCCGAGUCUUGUCAGAGCUAGCCAGAGGUGAGUGGAAUAACUCUAUAUGUUUCAAAGCCAAUAAUAAAAGUUUCAACAUGAUUCAUGCAUCAUAAAUACCAUGUGAUAUGUAUUAGGUUGUUUGCAUUAGAAACCACGAAUAUAUUGCAUUGCAUAUCUUAAUGUUGAUGUGGAUGGAUGUUGGAUGACCCAUUAGUCCUCAGUACAAUGAGAUAUGAUAUAUUAUGAUAUGGAAGUCCAGGCGUGCCUGCACUACACCCCUGGCACAAUGUAAGAGAAAGACCGGGUGUGGCCUGCACUACGCCCCCGGCACAAUUGGAUAUGUAUGAUAUGUUAUGUGUAAGAGAAAGACCAGGUGUGGCCUGCACUACGCCCCUGGCAUGAUUGGAUUAUGUAGAGGGCUAUUAGUGACAAGUUCAUCCUUGAUGUGAAAUGUUUGUGAUGUGAUGCAUUCCAUGAUAUCAUAUGUUUUAAAUACAAUGUUUUAUUAUUCUGCUCACUGGGCUCUAGUAGCUCACCCCACUCCCUUAUCUCCAGGUUUGCAGGUACGGGAUAGACUAGGAGGUCAAGAAGAAUAAAGUUGUGUUAUGUAAUAGUUAGAUGUGGAUAUGAUGAAUUGUAAAGUAUUGAAUAGUUAUGUAAUAAUGAUAUUGAGGAUUAGAAUUGUGCUUGACCCUAUGUGUAUGUUAAUCCCUUUUGAUACAUGAUCUUUCAAAUGUAAUGGUUUAAUGAUGUUUUUAUGUAACCAAGCUUAUAGUAUGUGAUGUUACCCCAUUGGAGCAUAGGAUGAGGGCUCCAGAGUGGGGAUUAUGAUUAUGAGUUGUGCAUGCACAGGGUAAGCUUGGGAACUGAAAGAAAAGUUUAAAUUUUCAUGUAAAAUGUUGAUCAUGUAUGGGAAUAAACAGGUUUACAGGUUGUAUGUUAGGCUUGCUACGGGUCCCGGCGGCCUUAAGCCGAUCUGGAUCCUAGCGCCGGUAGCGGUCCGAUUUUCGGGUCGUUACAGCUUCGACUUGGUUUGUUUACACCCUUAGCAAAAGGAUAACUACAAAACCUCACAACUAGAAAGAGAUGUCUCCAUCCCACUAUAGAACCUCAUAGUCCAUGACAAAACAAAAAAAAAAAAUCCUAAAGCUCUCUUGAUUGUACAUCAGGAGACAUAUCUCCAUGAACUUUUAGGUGUCAAUUGCAUUUUUUUUUUGGGUGAAUGUCAAAAGUGAUCCUCGACUCAUCAAUCAACUAAUAACAAUCCUGAUGCUUCAAGAAAUCCUAUUAAAAAAUACAAGUGAUUGUAAAAAAAGGUCCCUAACCCUUAUUAUACUAUUACA
rnacentral:lncRNA from 1 species